rnacentral:lncRNA from 1 species
AGUUAAUGUGAGCAAAAGUAGGAGCCGGCUCCGUGAUAUCUGGGUAGGUCCUCAGGCUUGAGCAACCACACAAAUCAAGCUUCCUCAACUUCAAAUUGAAAAUGGUGCUUGGAAAAGUUUGAAGUGAAUUACAGUGGGUAAGGUCUAACUUGCAUAGUCCGGUGAGGCUUCCAAUGGAAGAUGGAAUAAUCUCAAGAUUCAAGCAACGGUGCAAACUCAGUUCUUCAAGCCCUACCAAACGUGUCCAAGAUGAAGGUAGUGCCUGUAUGGCUGUGUCGUCUAAGAUGAGCACCGUUAAAUCUUCCAACGUGUCCUGAAUCUCGGGUAAAUUUUCCAAUUUUGAGCAACCCCGGAGAGAAAGUUGCUUUAGGAAUUUCAUAUCAGAAAGAUGAAAUGGAAAGAUUGUAAGAGAAGAACAGUGAGAGAGAUCUAAGCGAUAGAACUGCUUGCGACUAAAGGUUAAGGACACACCUUCCUUGAGUUUUGUGAACACUUUUAAGUGUAUGGUAUUAUUAGCCACUUCUUCUUCCUUAUAUCUGUCAAAAGUAAUUGAGAAAAUUUGACUGGAAGUUGGGAAAAGACCAUGGCGUCGACGUUUACGACGCCGUCGUGAGAAAUUGAUCUCUUUCAUCAUAUCCGGUUCCAGACGAGGGAAUCUUGAGAAAGUUUGACGUUGACGCUCGAGUAUGACAUGAGGGAAUCUGGGUUCACUGGUUGAAAACAUAUUAAGCUUCGGACAACGGGAAAUAUUAAUCCAUCCUGGUGAUGUGGAUAAAAUGUUGCUGGGAAUAUUUACACUUUCGAGAUUAGAACAAUUAUCUAAACAUAAAUAACUGAGCUUGGUGAGGAAUAUCGAGGAGUGAACUUCAAUCAACUUUUCACAAGAACUCAGAAUUAUUUCUUCAAUAUUUGGUGACAUAGAAAGGUCUGGUAUUCUAGUAAGUUUCAGAGAACCAGUCAGGUCGACCCUUUUCAACUUGGGUAAAUUCUGCCACAAAUACUAAAUGAAUGAGGUAACAAAUAAAAACUACUUUAUCUAUUUUUCUUCGGUAAACUAAUUUAUUUUUCAGAAAUGAUGAAAAUUAUAACUAAACUAUAUAAAAUUCCAUUUUAUUCUACUCAUCCUUAAUUUUUUUGUGAAAUCUUGAUUUUGGGAUAAUAUCACUUAAACUUAAGAAAUAUUUGGCAUUAAUGAACUCUAAACAAAUUCAUAUAAGAUAUACAUCACUUUCAAUCCAAAAUCUUAAACUAAUAGGUUUAUGAAUUUUCUUUAUAUGUUGUUUUAAAAAGUUGAGACUAAAUUGAACUUUUGAAAAUUGGGAGGAUGAAAUUAUAUUUUGUCUAUUAAUAUAGGGAUUAAAAAAAUAAUUGAAUCAAAUAUUACUAUUUUUGUGAUGUAUAUUUAUAUAUAAAUAAUUUUGAGAAUUUAGAGUUAUAUCAUAUAUAUAUAUAUAUAUAAAAUUCUUUUUGGUAAUGUAUCCUGUAAUUGUAAGCAAGUAUGAUUAUAUUAAGUGGGUGCGUUUCAAAUAGAGGAGACUACGCACAUACAAAUAUCUCUUAUAAAGUAAGAAAACAAACAAACCGUUACUCAAGAAGAUCAUGUAAUGCAUGACAGACAACAUGGGGAGAUAUCUAUCAUCAAUAAUAAAACGAUGUUUUCUGAGAGUUAAAAUUAAACCUUAUUUAAAAUAAGUCCAUCUUUCCAUAUUUUAUAAUUUGUUGUAUAUUAUAUUGAAGUUUAUGUUAUAAUAAAAAAAAUGACUUAAUUAAUCAAAUAAUGUGGAGAAGGCACAAAGGAAUUGCAAAUGAAAACCAGUAGAUGUAUAAUACAGAAAACAUGCUUGUAUAACUUAUUUUUGUCUUUGAAAGUUUAGAACACAAAGAAACAUAGAUAGCUUGAAAAACCUGAUCUCCUUCCCAAAGUUGUUCAAGAUUGCAGCCUGGCAUUUUGAGGGUCACUAGACUUUGUGGGCAAAAGUUUGGAGGCCAAAAUCUUUGAAGGAAAUUGUCCCAAUAAAGAAUCUUUAAAGUGUCCGGCAGAUCUACAAGAGAUGAUUCAAGAGACUCAUAAGAUUGUCCAUCUUUUCGAAACUUUGUGCAUGUACUACAGCAUCUUUUACUUUGUUCGUAUGUAGUAAUAUACACUGUAUUGCAUCUGACCCCUGAAAGUAAAUCAAUGUAAUUAGAAGAAAAAAACAUGAAAUGUUGCAUUGCAGGAUGUUUGAUGACAGCUCAGUGGUUUGCAAUUUUUCACAAAGUAAAUCCAUGUUCAAUUGAGUAACGACAUAAUACCUUGUUCUUUCUUAAAACCUCUCAAAUUUCCUCAGCAUUAAACAAUCGGCUGCGUUUUCCAGGAUGCUGAGGACACUCUUUACGAACAAUUUCUUGACUCAUUUCUUGUAUUAGAUCGUGCAUCACAAUUCUACCAUCAAAGACAGAUAUUAGGCCCCUAUCUUUGAGAAUAUCCAUUCCAAUCUUAGAAGAGAAACCACAGUCAGCAAGUGUUUCUGCUACCACAAUCUCCUGGCGUCCUCUAUAAAAGCAAGCUAUGUCAAGAAAUAUAUUCUUCUCCUCCUCCUCCAGCCCAUCAUAACUUAAUUUUAAUACAUUGAAAAUAUCAAGAUGUUGGCCCUUUUCCAACUUUUGCAACUGACUCUCCCAUGCUUCUCUUGUUCUGCCAUAAAGCAAUGACCCCAAAAUCUAGAGAGCUAAUGGAAUCCCUUUUGCAUAUCUCAACACCUUUUCUGACAGUUCCCUGUAAGCAAUUUCUUCUGAAGAUUUUUGUUUAAAAGCAAGUAAACUAAAAAGUUUCUGAGAAUCAUCAAAAUUCAACUCCUUAACUUCGUAGAUAUCAUCAGCUCUAGCAUUCUUAAGCACUUGUUUGUCUCUACUGGUGAUAAUCAUUCUACUGCCCUGCCCAAAACUAUCACUCCCUCCUAUUAAUUUUUUAAGUAGAGCUGAAUCGGUAACAUCAUCAAGAAUGAGGAGAGCCUUUGUCCGUUUCAGCCUUUCAUUGUAAUAUGAUAAACCAUGGGAUUUCUUUAUCUCUUCCUUUAGAAGCUCAGACAGAUAUUUUGUUCUGAUACUGUCUAUUCCAUCUUUUUGUAUUUUUUCUUGAACGUCUAAAACAAGGCUGCUGGAACCAAACUGCAAAGCCAAUGUGUGAUAUAUUUGAUAACAAAUUGUAGUUUUUCCUAUUCCUCCCAUGCCACAAAUUCCUAUGAUCCGAACAUGCGGUGACUCAAGAUGCAACAAGGACUGAAUUCCUUCAAUGUGUUUUUCAAUGCCGAUGAUUCCUUGAUCAUAACUGGUGGAAUAACGAUUCAAUUUUCUCAAAAUAUCUUCCACAAUUUCUUCAACAAGUGUGUGUUCUGGCCUGGCAGAUGAUUUAGAAAAUAAAGUAUAAGUAUUCAAGCACAAAAGCUAAACUAAACUAAAGAAAAAAUCAGAGUUAAGAGGAGUGAACAUCAUUGAAUAGAUUCACAUAUCGAUUCUAGUUUCGAGUUUUGGAUAAAAUAAAUAAAUUAAAAAGUUGAAGGUAAGUAUAGGACGUUAUCUUCGUAUAUUAGUUUGGUUGGUUUAGAAAUUGCAAAUCAAGAUGGCAAAAAUACUACAGUAACCGUUUGUGACUUCUGAUAAUAGGGAGCAGAUUUGUAGGUACAAAGUUAAGCUAUAACAUGUGAUAUGGUUCAGAUCCAUGACCGACUAAAAGAAAGACUUGAUUUAUGGUGAGAUGAACACAAUUUUAGUAAAUGAAAAGAAAUCCUGUUUAUCUCGAAAUUAUCUAAUAAAUAUAAUGACCUGGUGACUUUUGAAUCCCAGCCUGAAAGUCCAGCAGCUUCGGUGAGAGCAUCCUUCCAUCCUUGCGCUUUGACCAUGUCGUGCAUAAACCGCUGUUCAUGAUCAUCGAAUGAUUCUUUGUAUCUUUCUUCCUGCUUCCUAAUAGUUGAUGGAUCCACCUUGUAGAAAACAGGUAUCACAUCCCUUCCAAAUCUCUUCUUGCAUUCAAGUAUCUUACUGAGUUCAUUCAAGCACCAAGUGGAAGAUGCAUAGUUUUGGGAGAAAACGAUGACAUAAAUCUUUGAUUCUUCUAUUGCAGAGAGCAGUGCAGGUGAAAUUUCUUCGCCCCUGAGUAGUCUAUAAUCAAUAUAUGCUUCAAUGUUCUUCCUUUGCAGUGCUGCAUAAAGGUGGCUAAUGAAGUUGUCACGUGUGUCUUCGCCUCUGAAGCUGAGAAACACAUCAUGCCUUGUUAGAGAAGUAGACACGGCCAAUGAUGAAGGACUUUCUGACAUUGGAGUCAAUUUUCUCUCCUUUCUCUGCAAUUCUCAGGUCUCUUUCUUUGUACUGUUUCUACCACAAAUCUACUCUGCUGCUCUGGACUCAUUAUAAAACACAAGUCAACUUUUGAAAAAGUCUUUCAAUUUUCUUAACAUUCCUUUCACAGAUAUGUGUUCUGGUCAGACAUCGUAGUCAGCAGAAACUAAAGAAAAAGAAAAAUAUUAAUUUAAUAGAAUAGUCAACAAAUUGCAAAAUAAGUAUGGAAUCUAGAUUUAUAUCAUUAUCACGUGUGGAAACAUAGCUACGUCUUCUUAGAUAAAAUCCUUAUUUAAGUUUUAAUUGGGCCUUGUAGUGGGCUUUGUAAUCUGCUUUUCUUUUCUCCUAUAUUGCUUUAUAUAUACACCUCCACUUUUGCUUUCUACAUUUCAUUUUACAAAAUACAUUCUCUCAUUCUGUGUCAUUUAUCUUGCCUGAUUCCGUCCUCUCUUUAUCUUUUUCUCUCAUCCUCUUGCUUAUAAUUCUUUUGUUUUUAUUAAGAAAUACACUAUAAUUCUAAUUUAAUCAUAUACUAUAAUUAUGCUAAUCAUCAAUUAGUACUAUAUAUUAUUAAUGAUCUGCGUAUAUAUUAUUUAUGAUUUGCGGAUAAGACAAUAGAUUCAAUAAAUUCUAGAUAAAAUAAAUUUUAAAUGAAUAUGAUAAAAAUAUAUUAAAAAAUGAACUUUAUUGAAUCGAUUGAGUAUCUCUAUUUUAAAGACUUGUAAGAAUAAUAGGAAUAACAAUAUAUUAAUAUUAAUAUGUUUCUUAAUAAAUUUCAUACCCACUAUCUAUUUAUAAAUUAAUAUAUUAUAAAUAUCUAAUGAUGUCUUAUUUCUCUAACAUUUAAAAUUAAAUUUGUAGAUUCUACAAAACAUUACAUUUUGAUUUUAAUAUUUAUAAAAUAUUUUUUAUUCUCAUAUUUAAAAAACAAAACUUAGUUUGAGUGUAUUCCUUAGUUACUUACUACUCAUCACCAGCCGCCAACAGCGUGAUGGCUUCACUCUCCGUUCGCGCCACAACCACCUCUUAUCGGGCCUCCUUCCGGCCCAAGCCCACCUCGGGGCCCACCAGGGUCCGAAUGUCCCUCCGCGAUGACGGCCCCGCCAUCGCCGUCGUCGGCGUCACCGGCGCCGUUGGCGAGGAGUUCCUCUCCGACCGCGACUUCCCCUACCGUUCCAUCAAAAUGCUGGCCUCGCAGCUCUCCGCCGGCCGCCGCAUCAUCUUCGAGGACAGGGACUACGUCGUGGAGGAGCUCACAGCGGAUAGCUUCGACGGCGUCGACAUUGCGCUCUUUAGCGCCGGCGGUGGUAGACUAUAGCUCCGCAUUUGGGAUGGACGAGAAGGUGACGCUGGUUAUUCCCGAAGUGAAGCCCCAAACGAUGCAACACAUCAAAGUUGGAACGGGAAAAGGCGCUCUGAUUGCGAACCCUAAUUGCUCCACCAUUAUUUGCUUGAUGGACAUACUAAUUAAUAUCAAUUAUAACAAAUAAUGAACGUUUCUGGUCAUUUCUUGUACUUCGCGUUAUUUCAUAACAGUAGUUUUUUUAAAUAAAUUAAGAAAAAUAUUCAUUUUUAAAUUUAAUGCACUUUUAAAUAAUUUGACUAUUAUAAACAUAAUCACUUAUAAAAAUAAUUUUAGAGUAGUUGAUAUAAUUAAAAUAAAAUAUUUUAUUAUUAAAGUAAAAAUUAUAUAUAAAUAAAAAAUAGGUUUUAUUUUAAAAUAAUAUUCAAUUUUAUAAAAGUUUUUUCUUUUUGUCUUUUUUUUUUUAUAUUUCUAACCAUAUUUUUUCGUGAGGUUGAUAAUAGAAUCUCACUUUGGAUUUAUGGGAAUGAAUAAUGAAUUAGUUUUUAGUUUUCUAUUUAUCUAUAUAUAAAGGUGAUACGGUGACAAAUUCCAAAAUUUUAUUAUAAUGUUUGCUUUGUUGAUUGAAAUAGAUGUUAAUUGAUGAAAAAGAUUGAAAGUUUUAAACCCAAUACACCCCUCACGUCGAGGUUAGGUGGACUGAUAAGUUCAGCAAAAUCUCGUUAUGAUAGUUUUUAGAUGACUCUGAUACCACAAUAAAAAAUAAACUUUAAAUUUAACUCAACCUUACAAAACUAAUUUAUAAAGUGAGCUAUGUAUCCCUAGUCGAUGUAGAAUCUCUAACAAUGAUUUAAAUGAAUUGUUAUAUGCUUUAUGAAGUUUAACCUUUAUUUUUACUUGACAAAUUGGAUUUUAAUGAGGUAUAUAUGCUCUCAGCAUCAAAUCCGCUUAACGAAAUUUAUAUGUGUCAAGCGAAUUUGGACAUGUAGAGUUUGAUGUGCUCUUGGCCUCAAAUCCGCUCAAUGUUUUUUUUUCCUGUACUUAAGCAAACUUACAUCCAGAUUUUGGAGUACUUUCGAACUCAAAUUUGCUCAAAGAAAUUUUCUUAUGGUAAGCAAAUUUAAGCGGCUAUUGUUUGGAUGUUCUCUGCCUCAAAUUCGUUCAGUGAAAUUUUCCUGUGCUAAGGAGAUUUCUCUGGGCUUAAGCCCCAACUUCAUGGGCUCGACCCAUUUUGACGACAUUUGUCAUCUUUGCUUAGAUAUCUUUUGGUUUGUUUUCUAUAGGUCAUGAAAUUGAAUUAAAUCUUUUGAAAUUUAUCAUUUUGUAAAUUGUAAGUGAUUACAACUUUCUAAUGUUCAUGCAACAUGUGUUUAAAAUAAGUAAAUCUAACAAAUAAAUACUCGUUACAUAUUCAAUGGAAAGCUUUUUCUUUUAAUUCUUUGGUGUUUUAUUUUGAUGAUGUAUAUAUUUGAAAAUCAAUGUAUGAAUGGAUAAUGCUUUAUGAUAUAAUAAUAUUACAAUGUAAAUGUUAUUUAUAUACUAUCACAUGAUAAAUUAAAAUUUAAUAAGAUAGUUAAGGAUGUUAUAAUUAUUCUUUUAAUUUAUUUUAUUUCACUGUAUAUUUAGGUGUAUUACGUAGAAUGUAUAGUUAAAAAAAUAAUGUUAUUUUGAAAUUUAAAGAAUGACGUAUAGAAAUAAACAAGCUUUUGUUAAAAUUAUACUAUUUGAAAAGGAACACAGAACAAUAUUGACAAUUAUACUUUUACUUAUUACUUAUUUUAAUUUAUUAUAUUCAUGAGUAUUAUUUUUUUUAAACAUAGAUAUUGGAUAAAAAAUAUAAAUAACAUUUAUUUAUUUCAAAUUUAAAAAUCUUUAAAAUAAAAUUAAAUAAUAUUUUUAAUUAAGAUGUGUUUUUUAACAAUUUUUUUAAUUUAAAAAAUAAUUAAUUCGGAGGAUGAUUAAAGAAAUAUUAACAAAUUAUUUCUGCGUUUAUAAUAAACCUUCAAUAAUAUUUGUACUUUCUAGCAUAUAGAAUACUUAAUGGAUCCCUUUGUGAUUUUUCUUUUCUAAAGUGCAAUUGAUAUUUUAAAUGUUUUUCUAUUUAAUUUUCCUUUCUUAAUGACACAUUAAAGGGUUCAGUGCACGAUUAAUUAUUCUCACCUUAGAUUUCAUUCAUCUCAUUCCAUUUCCACACUCAAAUCAUUCUCACAUUUUUUUCUACCUAUUUCACAAAGUUUUAUGUAAAAUAUGGAAAUUAAACUAAAAGAACCCUACUUAUAUAUUAAUAUUCAACAACUUAAAAUAUUACUAUGCAAAUUAAUCUUUCUUAAUAAUGUUAUGUAAAAAUUAAAAUGUAGUUUAGUCAUUCAUACUUAGAUGGAUAAAGAUGGUUUUAGAAAAAAAAUGCAUUUUAUUUCAAAUCUAUUACUUAUAAAAUGAGUUAUAAAAUGAGGUUUGUGAUAUUUAUUCAAAAUUUAAAUUAUAUUAUGCAUUUAUGGUUUUAUGUUUUUAAAGAAAUCAGAAACUUAGAAAAGCUCCUAAAAACUACUGAAAUCCAUAAGAUGAUAAUUAAUAAACAUCCUCUCUUAAUAACAUAACAUAUAAGAUAGGAGUCUUUACACUUAUAUUCUUCAAACAAUUAUAAGCUGUCUUCAACUUUACUGUUAAACUACAAUUAUAAAGAAUUAACAAUCUCACACACCAACAACAUUUAUAAGCCAUCACUCACAUGAAACAAGGUGCCUCAAUGUGAAAAAACCAAGAUCAAUAAGAAAUGAGGUUCCACUUAACCAAGCUGAGAAUUUUCUGGUUUUCCAACUCCAUGCACAAACCUAAUACAAUGAUAUGAUAUUCAAUCAGCAUUAAUUGGCAUAAACAGGUACAUUGUUGUAAAACUGGGAUUAUAAGGUUCCAUAGGAUGGAGAAAAGUAAGAAGAGGAUUUACCAAUUACCCUUUCAAAUGGAGCUCCUCAGGAUUUCAUAAUGCCUUCACUGCAAAUGCAACCCAAAUAUGCUAAAAAAGUUAAUGAAACUAUAUAUGAAGAGUUUCAAGAAAAUGCAACUCUGGGACAACAGAGAAACCCAUCUCAUGCUGAACAGAAACAUCAAACUAUAUCUAACAAUAACUUAGAAAUCUUUGUCAACAAUUGAACGAACCCACUCCUAAAAUGCCAUUGAAAAUGUAAAUAAAACAAAAUAAAUUAAAAACGAGAAAUUCAUAAUAAAAAUUCAACGUGUUGAAACUUAUGAUAACUCAGUUUAGAUCCUGACCAAUGAAAGACUAAUUAGCAGAAGAGGAAGAGACUAGUUGACAGGGUAGCUUUCGGCCUUUCUCUUCCUAUCUUUCCUUGUUUCUCUUGAAGACUGUGCAACAUUGCUUCCACUGGAUUCUUCAAUGUCAACAUCACCACCAUAUUUAUCAUCUUUCUUUUUGGUAUAAAGGGGGCAUAUGCCGCAUUCUUUUAUUGUGAUGUCUGAUGCCAUCACUCUCACACCUGAUUUGUAACUAUACAGACUGAUCUCAAAAGUGAAGCUGCGAGCAUCACAGACCCUAAGGCUCUUGCGGCUCGCCGUUAGGGACUCCAUGUUAAAUUUCCACACGAAUGUGUGAUCUUCAUCAACACAUCUGUGUUCACCAUUCCAUUUGAAAUAGCUGUUUAACACAUCAUUAUUUAGAAUGAUCUGUGUGCCAUCAUCAUCAUCAGAUUCAAAUUUUAGACUGUAACCAAAAGAACCAUAUCUACAUUUAACAGCUUUCGUAUCUAACACUCCAAAAACCACACACAAAGCGAAACCAGUGAGCCUAUCAUCGCUGCAGAAACUUAAAUCUUCAUUUAUAGUCACUGAAUGUCCCUUCCCACGAGAAUGGAACCAACGAGGAACUGCAUUCCCUGGAAAACAGAAGAACACAGACCUAUAUGCAUCGUCGGUCAUCCUAACCCAUGCAUCCUCCUCAAUGUUAGCACGAGCACCUGAAUCCAGUUGCUGAGCAUUGGUGAAAUGAAAUUUGAAGACACCCUCUUUGGAGUUUGAGAAGUUUGGAACAAGAGAAUUUGACAUCACUCUUCUGAUGGAUGGGCAAUCCAAUGCCACGAGUUGUUUUAGAAAUGGUGGAAUCUGUGGGAUGGAUUCAAGUUUUUUGCAGUCGCUUAAAUCGAGCGAGUUCAAGCUUGAAAGAUGAGCAAUGCUCUCAGGAAGGUUCACGAUUCCGCUAUCACGCAGUGACAGUUCCAUUAAUGACGUCAAGCGACCGAUGUGGCUUGGGAUUUCUGUUAAUUUGGCACACCCCGAACAAUCAAGUUUAGAGAGAAGCUUCAGAUUAACAAUGGAGUUUGGAAGUGACUCGAGAUGAAUGCACUCUUGGAGUUCCAGGGAUCGAAGAUUAACGAAAUUGCCAAAUGAGGAAGGCAGUUCUUUAACAGCCGUAGAUGUUAAGUUAAUGUGAGCAAAAGUAUGAGCCGGCUCCGCGAUCUCUGGGAAGGUCCUCAGCCUUGAGCAACCACGCAAAUCAAGGUUCCUCAACUUCAAAUUGAAAAUGGUGCUUGGAAAAGUUUGAAGUGAAUUACAGUGGGUAAGGUCUAACUUGCAUAGUCUGGUGAGGGUUCCAAUGGAAGAUGGAAUAAUCUCAAGAUUCAAGCAACUGCGCAAACUCAGUCCUUGAAGCCCUACCAAACGGCACAAGGAUGAAGGUAGUGCCUGUAUGGCUGUGCCGUCUAAGAUGAGCACCACUAGAUCUUCCAACGUGUCCUGAAUCUCGGGUAAAUUUUCCAAUUUUGAGCAACCACUGAGAGAAAGUUUCUUUAUGAAUUUCAUAUCAGAAAGGUGAAAUGGAAAGAUUGUAAGGGAAGAACAGUGAGAGAGAUCUAAGUAACAGAGCUUCUUGCGAUUAAAGUUGAAGUGACAGAGCUUCAUGAGUUUUGUGAACACUUUAAAACAUAUAGUAUCAUUAGCCACUUCUUCUUCCUUAUAUCUGUCAAAAGUAAUUGAGAAAAUUUCACUGGAAGUUGGGAAAAAAGGACCACGGUGUCGACGUUUACCACGCCGUCCUGAGAAAUUCGUCAUAUCCGGUUCCUGACGAGGGAAUAUUGAGAAAGUUUGAAGUUGACGCUCCAGUAUCACAUGAGGGAAUCUGGGUUUACUGAUCGAAAACAUAUUAAGCUUCGGACAACGGGAAAGAGUAAUCCAUCCUGGUGAUGUGGAUAAAAUGUUGCUGGGAAUAUUUACACUAUUCAGAUCAUUACAAUCAUCUAAACAUAAACAACUGAGCUUGUUGAGGAAUAUCCAAGAGUGAACUUCAAUCAACUUUUCACAACUUUUCAGAAUUAUUUCUUCAAUAUUUGGUGACAUAGAAAGGUCUGGUAUUCUAGUAAGUUUCCGAGAAUAACUCAGGUCGAGCCUUUUCAAGUUGGGUAAAUUCUGCCACAAAUAGGAAAUGAAUGAGGUAACAAAUAAAAACUACUUUAUCUAUUUUUCUUCGGUAAAAUAUUAGCUACAUCAUCUAAUCUAUUCACUUUAUAUUUUACAUUACUUCAAAACCACUGUUAAAAAAAAUCACACUGUCAACUAACAAAACUGUGGCUAUAAAUUUAAUAGUUAUUAUAAAAAACCACAAAAUUUAACGUGUUUUUGUUCCCUACCUCAAAUUACAUCCUAAUAAUUUGAACCUAAACUUAUUAUGUAUUUAAAAACUGAUGAUAGUAAUUUAUAAUCGAUGACAGUGUGGAAAUACUUUAUAUCAUGCAUGUAUCAACUGACAAAAUAAAAUGGUGUUGUCUGAUGAUAGUAAUUUAUAAUCGAUGACCAUCUUUCCAUAAUUUAUUUUAUUAAAUACAUAAUUUGUUGUAUAUUAUAUUGAAGUUUAUGUUAUAAUAAUAAAAAAAUACUUAAUUAGGUUUUGAGUAUCCAGUAAGACAUUUUUAAUUAAUUUUUUUAUUAAAUUUUUUAAUUAUUUAAGUACUCAAAUUUUUUAUAUUUCCAAUAGAAUAUAUGUCAUUUUUAAUUUUUGAGUUAAUUGGGUGAUACAGAAAUUAUCUUGUCACAUGAUCUUACUUACUUGUCUUUAUGUAUUAAGGAAUAUGAAGUUUUAUGAUUGGCCAUUAGACUAUAUACCUAAAAAGAGGAUGCAAACUCUUCUACAUGCUACUAAAUUUAUAACUAUCUUUAAUUAGAAACAUGCUGAGUAUGAUUCUUAUGAUAUAUGUAUAACUGUGUGGUUCAAAUAAAAGAAAUUUCAAAUCGAAUAAUGUGGAGAAGCACAAAGGAAUUGCAAAUGAAAACCAGUAGAUGUAUAAUACAGAAAACAUGCUUGUAUAACUUAUUUUUGUCUUUGAAAGUUUAGAACACAAAGAAACAUAGAUAGCUUGAAAAACCUGAUCUCCUUCCCAGAGUUGUUCAAGAUGGCAGUAUGGCAUUUCGAGGGUCACUAGAUUUUGCGGGCAAAAGUUUGGAGGCAAAGAUCUUUGAGGGAAAUGUUUCCAAUAAAGAAUCUUUAGAGUGUCUGGCAGACCUACAAUAGAUGAUUCAAGAGACACAUUUGACGUGUAUUUUGGCGUGUUGAGCAUAAGCAUCCUAAGAUUGUCCAUCUUUUCGAAACUUUGUGCAUGUACUACAACUUCAUUUACUUUGCUCGUAUCUAGUGAUAUACACUGUAUUGCAUCUAACCCCUGAAAGUAAAUCAAUGUAAUUAGAAAAAAAAAGCAUGAAAUGUUGCUGUAUGGUUAUGGGCAGAUUGAUGAGAUAUGGUAACCUUCGGAUACUGAUCAUGAAGUGACAUAAAGGAGAAGGAAGCGUUACUGAAGGAGAGUAAUGGAAAUUUAUGAGAAAUUAAGCCGUUGGUUACAGAGACUAGGUAGGGACCGAGUCAUCUAUACCAGGGACCGAGUCAUCUAUAAGAGGAGGCAGAGACGAAGAGUAGGGGUAGGAAAAAAAGAUAUGGUUUUUAUAUUAUCUUUGAUGCUCUAGCUAAGGAUCAUCUGUCCUAAAACAGUUGCAUUUCUGGAUGUUUAAUGACAGCUCAAUAGUUUGCAGUUUUUUCACAAAGUAACAACAGAAUAUACCUUGUUUUUUCUUAAAACAUCACAAAUUUCCUCAGCAUUAAACAGUCGGCUGCGUUUUCCAGGAUGCCGACGACACUCUUUACGAACAAUUUCUUGACCCAUUUCUUGUAUUAGAUCGUGCAUCAUAAUAAUACCAUUAAAGACAGAUAUUAGGCACCUAUCUUUGAGAACAUCCAUUACAAUCUUAGUAGAGAAACCAUUGCAGUCAUCAAGUAUUUCUGCCAGCACAAUCUCCUGGUAUCCUCUAUAAAAGCAAGCAAUGUCAAGAAAUAUAUUCUUCUCCACCUCCUCGAGCCCAUCAUAACUUAAUUUUAAUACAUUGAAAAUACCAUGAUGUUGGCCCUUUUUCAACUUUUGCAACUGACUUUCCCAUGCUUCUUUUGUUCUGUCACAAAGCAAUGAGCCCAAAAUCUGGAGAGCUAACGGAAUCCCUUUUGCAUAACUCAACACCUUUCCUGACAGUUCCUUGUAAGCAAUUUCUUCUGAAGAUUUUUGUUUAAAAGCAUGUAAACUAAAAAGUCUUAGAGAAUCAUCAGAAUUCAACUCCUUAACUUCGUAGAUAUCAUCAGCUCUAGCAUUCUUAAGCACUUGUCUGUCUCUACUGGUCAUAAUGAUUCUACUGCCCUGCCUAAAACUAUCACUCCAUCCUAUUAAUUUUUGAAGUUGAGCUGAAUCGGUAACAUCAUCAAGAAUGAGGAGAGCCUUUGUCCGUUUGAGCCUUUCUUUGUAAUAUGGUAAAGAAGAAGAUUUCUCUUCCUUUAGAAGCUCAGACAGAUAUUUUGUUCUGAUACUAUCUAUUCCAUCUCUUUGUAUUUUUUCUUGAACGUCUAAAACAAGGCUGCUGGAAUCAAACUGCAAUGCCAAUUUCUGAUAUAUUUGAUCACAAAUUGUACUUUUUCCUAUUCCUCCCAUGCCCCAAAUUCCUAUGAUCCGAACAUCCGGUGACUCAGGAUGCAACAAGGACUGAAUUCCUUCAAUAUGUUUUUGAAUGCCGAUGAUUCCUUGAUCAUAACUGGUGGAAUAAAGAUUCAAUUUUCCCAAAAUAUCUUCCACAAUUUUUUCAACAAGUUUGUGGUCAUUCCUGGCAGAUGAUUUAGAAAAUAAAGUAUAAGAAUUCAAGCACAAAAGCUAAACUAAACUAAAGAAAAAUUCAGAGUCAAGAGGAGUGAACAUCAUUGAAUAGAUUCACAUAUCGAUUCUAGUUUCGAGUUCUGGAUAAAAUAAAUAAAUUAAAAAGUUGAAGGUAAGUUUAGGACGUUAUCUUCCUAUAUUAGUUUGGUUGGUUUAGUAAUUGCAAAUCAAGAUCGCAGAAAUUCUACAGUAACCGUAUGUGACUUCUGAUAAUAGGGAGCAGAUUUGUAGGUACAAAGUUAAGCUAUAACAUGUGAUAUGGUUCAGAUCCAUGACCGACUAAGAGAAAUGAAAAAAGAAACACUUGAUUUAUGGUGAGAUGAACACAAUUUUAGUAAAUGAAAAGAGAUCCUGAUUAUCUAAUAAAUAUAAUGACCUGGUGACUUUUGAAUCCCAGCCUGCAAGUUCAGCAGCUUCGGUUAGAGCAUCCUUCCAUCCUUGCACUCUGUCCAUGUCGUGCUUAAGCCGCUGUUCAUGCUCAUCAAAUGCUUCUUUGAAUCUUUGUUCCUGCUUCCUAAUAGUUGAUGGAUCCACCUUGUAGAAAACAGGUAUCACAUCCCUUCCAUAUCUCUUCUUGCAUUCAAGUAUCUUAGUGAGUUCAUUCAAGCACCAAGUGGAAGAUGCAUAGUUUUGGGAGAAAACGAUGACAUAAAUCUUUGAUUCUUCUAUUGCAGAGAGUAGUGCAGGUGAAAUUUCUUCGCCCCGGGGUAGUCUCUCGUCAAUAUAUGCUUGAAUGUUCUUCCUUUGCAGUGCUGCAUGAAGGUGACGAAUGAAGUUGUCACGUGUGUCUUCCCCUCUGAAGCUGAGAAACACAUCAUGCUUUGUUAGAGAAGCAGACACGGGGAAUGAUGAAGGACUUCCUGACAUUGGAAUCAAUUUUCUCUCUUUUCUCUUGCAACUCUCAGUGCCUUUGUUUGUACACAAAUCAACUCUUGGAAAAGUCUUUGAAUUUUCUCAAAAGUAUCUUUCACAGAUCACGCACGCGUGGAAACAUAGCUGUGUUAAAAUCCUUAUUUAAGUUUUAAUUGGGCCUUGUAGUGGGCUUUGUAAUGUGCUUUUCUUUUCUCCUACAUUGCUUUAUAUAUACACCUCAGCGUUUGCUUUCUACAUUUCAUUUUACAAAAUACAUUCUCUCAUUUUCUACCUUUUAUAUUGUCUGAUUCCGUUCUCUCUUUAUUUUUUUUCAAAUCUCUUUUGCUUACAAUUUUUUUUUCUUUUUUAAGAAAUGUACUUUUUCAAGUUUAAUUUAAUUUUAUAAAACAGUCAUCUUUCUACAGUAUUAUCAUCUCUUACGUGAGAUUAUUAUAUAUUAUUUGGUGAUCUAAGUAAACUUUUAAUCCAAUAAACUUUAAAAAUAAUUCUAAUACUAUAUUAAAAAAUGAAAUUUAAAUCUAAUUCUAUUUUAUAAAAUAUAUUUAUUCAAUGCUAAAAUAUCUCUAAUUGAGUAGGGAUGUUCAAAAUACUUAUUGGUUCUUGAUUUUCACUUUCACUUUUAAGGUUUUUCUUCGCAGACACGUAGUAAACAGAAAUACAAAAAUAUGAGUCAAUGGAAGAGUCUAACGAUUCGCAGAAUAUUAUGGUGUCUAGCUUUAUACCGCAUUAAUGCGAGGAGUUUCUUUAAUAUUUUUACUCAAUUUAUUUAUUUUUAAUUCUUUUUUUUUUCACACCUUUUACAAAUAAAGAAUCGUAUUUCUUUAAUAUAUUUUAGAAAAUAACCACUAAACCUUAUUAUAAAAUAUAUUUAUGAAAUGCACGUGUAAGAAUAACAGGAAAAAUAUUACUACGAAAAACAAUAUAUUAAUAUUAAUAUGUUUCUUAAUAAAUUUCAUACCCACUGUCUAUUUAUAAAUUAAUAUAAUAUAAAUAUCUUUAAUGAUGUUUUUGUGGGUAGCUUAUUUCUCUAACGCAGAAUAUUAUGGUGUCUACUUUUAUAAAACAUUACAUUUUGAUUUUAAUAUUUAUUAAAUAUUUUUUAUUUGGGAUGAAGUAACGAUGAUGAAUCGAAUGUGUUUUGAAGUCUGACAUAACUUUUAGAGAUGUUAUGAGAACGGUUAAUGACGGAAAUUAUCAAAAACCUUUUGGGGGAAGGUUGUGGUUUUGGGAGGUGAUUUCAGGUAAAUAUUGUUAGUGGUAAAAAAAGGAUUAAGAUAUGAUGUUGUGAAGUCAACAAUCAACUUUUCUCAUUUGUGGUUAAAUUGUCGAGUCUUAAAACUUUCUCAAGGAAAUCCAACACGAUCUAUUGAUUGAGCCCACAAAAACACCUUUGUUAUCAUUGGUGAAUUUUGUUUAUCCUAAUUUAUUGACUGAUAUGUUAUGUCCUGAGUACUUUGAGUAUGGAGCAAUACUUUGUCCGACAACUGAAUCAGUAGAGCAAGUGAAUGAUUUUAUUUUAUCUCUGUUAAGUGGUAAAUAAAUAAAUUAUCUUAGUUCGGAUACACCUUGCCAAUUAGAUUAAGAUCAAGAAUUUAAAGUGAAUGGUUCACUUCUGAGUUCUUAAAUGAGAUAAAAUGUUCAGAGAUACUAAAUCAUCGCCUUCAUUUGAAAAUUGGCGUGCCUAUUAUGCUUUUGAGAAAUAUUGAUCAAACCAACGGUCUUUGUAAUGGAACAAGGUUGCAAGUUAUUGAUUUGAAGAAAAUGUUAUUUGUGCAAUAGUUCUAACAGGAACAAAUAUUGGUGAUAAAAUCUUUAUUUCAAUAAUGAAUUUGAUCCCUUUAGAUGUAGGUAUGCCAUUCAAAUUCUAGAGAAGACAAUUUCCAAUAACUUUAUGUUUUGCAAUGACAAUUAAGAAAAGUCAAAGUCAAUUAUUGACCAAAGUUGGUUUAUAUUUUUCACGUCCAAUUUUCACACAUUGAUAGUUGGAUGUAGCUAUUUAUAGAGUUAGAAAGAAAAAAAUUUAAAAAUUCUAACUCUUGAUGAAGAUGGGAAUGCAACAAACAAGAAAAAGAAAAUGUUUACACUGAAACUUUUGACAAUAUUUAAAAACAAUAGAAUUAUAUGAUAAACUUGGAAUAAUGGCUAAUUCUCCCUGCACCCAAUAUUUUUGAACAUGCAACUUUUAAAUUUGCUCCCUUGUAAUUAUAUUUUCUUAUGUGUGAUGUAGUAACAGUUGCCUUAUUUAAAAUGUUACUAAAUAACAUAUCAUUUAUAUCUGUUAUUUUUAUUCUGUUCUGAUUUUAUAUAUAUGUUAACGAAGUUGAGAAUUUUCUGAUUUUACAGGUCCAUGCACAAACCUAAUAUAAUGAUAUGAUAUUCAAUAUCAAGAGGUACUUGUCGUAAAACGGGGAAUAUGAGAGACUCCAUAGAAUGAAGAAAAAGUAUAAAGAGGAUUUACAAAUUACCCUUUCAAAUGCAGCUCCUCAGAAUUUCUUAAUGCCUUCACUGCAAAUGCAACCCAAAUAAGCUAAAGAAGUUAAUCAAACUAUACAUUAAGAGUUUCAAGAAAAUGAAACUCUGGAACAACAGAGCAACCCAUCUCAUGCUCAAUAGAAACAUCAAACUAUAUCUAACAAUAACUUAGAAAUCUUUGUCAACAAUUGAACGAACCCACUCCUAAAAUGCCAUUGAAAAUGUAAAUAAAUAAAUAAAAAUUAAAAAUGAGAAUUCAUAAUAAAAUUUCAUCGUGUUGAAACUUGUAAUUUAGAAGUAUUACGAUAAGCCAGUUUUGAUCCUCGCGAAUGAAAGACUAAUUAGCAGAAAGACUGUGCAAAAUUCCUUCCACUGGAUUCUUCGAUGUCAACUGAUUUGGUAUAAAGAGGACAUAUGCCGCAUUCUUUUAUUGUGAUAACUGAUUUCAACUCUCUCACAAGUAAUUUGCGAUUUGACCGAUUUGGCCGCAGAAAGGGAUCAUCAUAAUCAUGCGAACUGAUCUCAAAAGUGAAGCUGCGAGCAUCACACAGCCUAAGGCUCAUGCCGCUUGCCCUUAGGGACUCCAAGUUAAAUUUCCACACCAAUGUGUGAUCUUUAUCAACACCUCUCUCUUCAUCAUCCCAUCUGAAAUAGUUGUUUAACACAUCAUUAUUUGGAAUUAUCCGUGUGCCAUGAUCAUCAGAUUCAAAUUUUAGGCUGUAACCAAAGGAACCAUAUCUACCUUUAACAACUUUCGUAUCUAACACUUCAAAAACCACACACAAAGCGAAACCACUGAGCCUAUCAUCGCUUAAAAAACUUAAAUCUUCAUUUAUAGUCACUGAAUGUCCCUUCCCACGAAAAUGGAACCAACCAGGAACUGCACUCCCUGGAAAACAGAAGAACACACACCUAUAUCUAUCGUCGGUCAUCCUAAGCCUUGCAUCCUCCUCAAUGUUAGCACGACCACCUGAAUCCAGUUGUUGAGCAUUGGUCAAAAGAAAUUUGAAGAAACCCUCUUUGGAAUUUGACAAGUUUGGAACAAGAGAAUUGGACAUCACUCUUCUAAUGGAUGGGCAAUCCAAUGCCACUAGUUUUUUUAGAAAUGGUGGAAUCUCUGGGAUGCAUUCAAGCUUUUUGCAGUCGCUUAAAUCAAGCGAUUUCAAGCUUGAAAGAUGAGCAACGCUCUCAGGAAGGUUCACAAUUCCGCUAUCACACAGUGACAGUUCCAUUAAUGACGUCAAGCGACCGAUAUCUCUAGGGAUUUCUGUUAAUCUGGCACACCCCGAACAAUCAAGUUUAGAGAGAAGCUUGAGAUUAACAAUGGAGUUUGGAAGUGACUCCAGAUCAGUGCAUUUGCGGAGCUCCAGGGAUCGAAGAUUAACCAAAUUGGCAAAUGAGGAAGGCAGUUCUUUAACAGCCGUACAUAUCAAGUUAAUGUGAUCAAAAGUAGGAGCCGGCUCUGUGAUCUCUGGGAAGGUCCUCAGACUUGAGCAACCACACAAAUCAAGGUUCCUCAACUUCAAAUUGAAAAUGGUGCUUGGAAAAGUUUGUAGUGAACUACAGUGGGUAAGGUCUAACUUGCAUAGUCUGGUGAGGCUUCCAAUGGAAGAUGGAAUAAUCUCAAGAUUGAAGCAACUGCACAAACUCAGUUGUUGAAGCCCUACCAAACGGCACAAGGAUGAAGGUAGUGCCUGUAUGGCUGUGUCGUCUAAGAUGAGCACCACUAGAUCUUCCAACGUGUCCUGAAUCUGGGGUAAAUUUUCCAAUUUUGAGCAACCACGGAGUGAAAGUUGCUUUAGGAACUUCAUAUCAGAAAGGUCAAAUGGAAAGAUUGUAAGGGAAGAACAGUGAGAGAGAUCUAAGUGACAGAGCCUCUUGAGAUUUUGAAAGUUUGAGGGUACACCUUCGAGUAUUGUCGACACUUCACAUUGUGAGUAUAUAGUAUUAUUACCCACUUCUUCUUCGUUAUAUCUGUCAAAACUAAUUGAGGAAAUUUCACUGGAAGUUGGGAAAAUACCUUUAGCAUUAUGGAAUUUAACAGUCCCUCCCAAAAGUAAACUUGAGAAAGUUGGACGUUGACCCUCCAGUUUCACAUGAAGGUAUCUGGGUUGACUGGUUGAAAACAUUUCAAGCUCCUCACAGUGAGAAAGAAUGAUCAAUCCUGGAGAUGUGGAUAAAAUCUUGUUGGGAAUAUUUACACUUUUGAGAUGAUAACAAUGAUCUAAACAUAAACAACUGAGCUUGCUGAGGAAUAUCGAAGAGUGAACUUUAAUCAACUUUUGACAAUAACUCAGAAUUAGUUCUUCAAUAUUCGGUGACAGAGAAAGGUCUGGUAUUCUAGUAAGUUUCAGAGAAUGACUCAGGUUGAGCCUUUUCAAGUUGGGUAAAUUCUGCCACAAAAAGUAAAUGAAUCAGGUAACAAUGAAAAACUAAAAUAAAGUUUUAUGCAAUUUUAUCUAUUUUUCUUCGGUAAACUAUGAGCUACAUCAUCUAUCGAGUUUAUAUUUUACAUAAAACCACUGUUAAAAAAAUCACACUGUUAACUAACAAAAUUAUGGUCACUAUAAAUUUUAUAGUUAUUAUAAAAAUUCACAAAAUUUAACGUGUUUUUGUUCUCUACCUAAAAUUACAUCCUAAUAAUUUGAACCUAAGCUUAUUAUGUAUUGAAAAACUUACUAUAGUAAUUUAUAAUCCAUGACAAUGUCGAAAUACUUUAUACUAUGCAUGUUAAAAUUUGAUAAAAUGUCGAAAUACUGACAAAAUAAAAAUGGUGUUUUCCGAGAGUUAAAAUUAAACUUUAGUUAAAAUAAGUCCAUCUUUACAUAUUUUAUAAUUUGUUGUAUAUUAUAUUGAAGUUGAUGUUAUAAUAAAAAAAUGACUUAAUUAAUCGAAAAAUGUGGAGAAAACACAAAGAAAUUGCAAAUGCUUGUAUAAUUUAUUUUUAUCUUUGAAAGUUUAAAAGACAAAGGAACAUAGAUAACUUGAAAAACCUGAUCUCCUUCCCAGAGUUGUUCAAGACGGCAGCCUGGCAUUUCGAGGAUCACUAGAUUUUGUGGGCAAAAGUUUGGAGGCCAAAAUCUUUGCGGGAAAUCUCUCCAAUAAAGAAACUUUAGAGUGUCUGGCAGACCUACGAGAGAUGAUUCAAGAGACACAUUUGAUAUGUAUUCAGUUGAGUAGAGUAAAAACGUCCAAAGAUCAUCCAACUCUUUACGAGACACAUCUGAUAUGUAUUUAGUUUUAUUUUGCUCGUAUCUAGUAAUAUACACUGUAUUGCAUCUGACCCCUGAAAGUAAAUCAAUGUAAUUAGAAGAAAAAAACAUGAAAUGUUGCAUUGCAGGAUGUUUGAUGACAGCUCAGUGGUUUGCAAUUUUUCACAAAGUAAAUUAAUGACAGGUCAGUAGUUAUAUACCUUAUUCUUUCUUAAAACCUCACAAAUUUCCUCAGCAUUAAACAAUCGGCUGCGUUUUCCAGGAUGCUGAGGACACUCUUUACGAACAAUUUCUUUACCCAUUUCUUCUAUUAGAUCGUGCAUCACAAUUCUACCAUCAAUGACAGAUAUUAGGCCCCUAUCUUUCAGAAUAUCCAUUCCAAUCUUAGAAGAGAAACCAAAGUCAUCAAGUCUUUCUGCUACCUCAAUCUCCUCGUGACCUCUAUAAAAGCAAGCUAUGUCAAGAAAUAUAUUCUUCUCCUCCUCCUCCAGCCCAUCAUAACUUAAUUUUAAUACAUUGAAAAUACCAAGAUGUUGGCCCUUUUUCAACUUUUGCAACUCACUCUCCCAUGCUUCUCUUGUUCUGCCAUAAAGCAAUGACCCCAAAAUCUGGAGAGCUAACGGAAUCCCUUUUGCAUAUCUCAACACCUUUUCUGACAGGUCCAUGUAAGAUUUUUCUGCUGAAGAUUUUUGUUUAAAAGCAUGUAAACUAAAAAGUUUAUGAGAAUCAUCAAAAUUCAACUCCUUAACCUCGUAGAUAUCAUCAGCUCCAGCAUUUCUAAGCACUUGUCUGUCUCUACUGGUCAUAAUGAUUCUACUGCCCUGCCCAAAACUACCACUCCCUCCUAUUAAUUUUUUAAGUAUAGCUGAAUCGGUAACAUCAUCAAGAAUGAGGAUAGCCUUUGUCCGUUUGAGCCUUUCAUUGUAAUAUGAUAAAUCAGGGGAUUUCUUUAUCUCUUCCUUUAGAAGCACAGACAGAUAUUUUCUUCUGAUACUGUCUAUUCCAUCUCUUUGUAUUUUUUCUUGAACGUCUAAAACAAGGCUGCUGGAAUCAAACUGCACUGCCAAUUUCUGAUAUAUUUGAUUACAAAUUGUAGUUUUUCCUAUUCCUCCCAUGCCACAAAUUCCUAUGAUCCGAACAUCCGUUGACUCAAGAUGCAACAAGGACUGAAUUCCUUCAAUAUUUUUUUCAAUGCCGAUGAUUCCUUGAUCAUAACUGGUGGAAUAACGAUUCAAUUUUCUCAAAAUAUCUUCCACAAUUUCUUCAACAAGUGCGUGUUCUGGCCUGGCAGAUGAUUUAGAAAAUAAAGUAUAAGUAUUCAAGCACAAAAGCUAAAGUAAACUAAAGAAAAAUUUUACAGUAACCGUUUGUGACUUCUGAUACUAGGGAGCAGACUUGUAGGUACAAAGUUAAACUAUAAGAUCAGAUAUGGUUCAGAUCCAUGACCGACUAAGAGAAAUGAAAAAAGAAACACUUGAUUUAUGGUGAGAUGAACACAAUUUUAGUAAAUGAAAAGAGAUCCUGAUUAUCUAACAAAUAUAAUGACCUGGUGACUUUUGAAUCCCAGCCUGCAAGUUUAGCAGCUUCAGUUAGAGCAUCCUUCCAUCCUUGCACUUUAUCGUGCUUAAGGUGCUGCUCAUGCUUUUCGAAUGCUUCAUUGUAUCUUUGUUCCUGCUUCCUAAUAGUUGAUGGAUCCACCUUGUAGAAAACAGGUAUGACAUCCCUUCCAAAUCUCUUCUUGCAUUCAAGUAUCUUAGUGAGUUCAUUCAAGCACCAAGUGGAAGAUGCAUAGUCUUGGGAGAAAACGAUGACAUAAAUCUUUGAUUCUUCUAUUGCAGAGAGGAGAGCAGGUGAAAUUUCUUCGCCCCUGUUUAAUCUGUAAUCAAUAUACGCUUCAAUGUUCUUCCUCUGCAGCGCUGCAUAAAGGUGACUAAUGAAGUUGUCACGUGUGUCUUCCCCUCUGAAGCUGAGAAACACAUCAUGCUUUGUUAGAGAAGUAGACACGGGGAAUGAUGAAGAACUUCCUGACAUUGGAAUCAAUUUUCUCUCCUUUCUCUGCAAAUCUCAGAUUCCUUUGUUUGUACCAUUUCUACCUGAAGAAGUGUUUAAAUUUUCUCAAAAUACCUUGCACAGCGUGUUCUGGUCAGACAUAAAGAAAAAGACAAAUAUUAAGUUAAUAGAAUAGUCAACAAUUUAAAAAAUAAGUAUGAAAUAUAGAUAUAUAUCAUUAUCACGUGUGGAAGCUACGUCGUCUUGUAUUGGAUUUUCUAAUCUGCCUUUUAUCUUGUCUCAUUCUUCUUUAUCUUUUUUCUCUCAUCUCUCUUGCUUACGAUUUCUUUGCCUUUAUUCAGAAAUUUUAUUUAUAAUAAACCUUCAAUAAUAUUUGUACUUUCUAGCAUAUAGAAUACUUAAUGGAUCCUUUUCUGAUUUUUCUUUUCUAAAGUGCAAUUGAUAUUUUAAAUGUUUUUCUAUUUAAUUUUCCUUUCUUAAUGACACAUAAAAUGGUUCAGUGCACAAUUAAUUACUCUCACCUUAGAUUUCAUUCAUCUCAUUCCAUUUCCACACUCAAAUCAUUCUCACAUUUGUUUCUACCUGUUUCACAAAGUUUUAGUUAAAAUAUGGAAAUUAAUGUUCAAGAACCCUACUUAAUAUUAAUAUUCAACAAUUUAAAAUAUUAAAAUGCAAAUUAAUCUUUCUUAAUAAUGUCAUUUUUAUGUAAAAAAUAAAAUGUAGUUUAGUCAUUUAUACUUAGAUGGAUAAAGAUGGUUUUAGAAAAAAAAAUGCAUUUUAUUUCAAAGGUUAUCUAAGCUCUGAACUCAUUUAUGAAUUAAUAAUAAUAAAUAAUAUGUAAUUGUAUUCCAAUACCAUAUAAUUUUUUUUAUUGGGUGCGUUUCUGAUGAAUUAAUUAAUGCACUCUAGGGACAAUGAUCGCUCUAGUAUUUGAUUUUUUUAUUUAUUUUAAUGUUGAAAUUAUAGCUAUUUAGUACAGAUACUAUUGACACCGACACAGAUACGACACAGACACAGAGAUACUUAAAAUCUCUAAAAUGUAAGAUACAGAGACAUUAAUCUAUAUAUUAUAUAAUUAUGAAUUAUAUAAAUUAACAAUAAAGACUUAUGUGCACAAGUAUUUUGGAGAUUAUUUUUUAAGCAGAAAUAUGUUUUUCAUGACUGUUUCACAAAGAUUUGUUUCUUAUUUUUAUAAUCAUAAUAACAAUUUAUACCAUAAAGUUUGAAUUUUAGAAAAUUAAUGUAUUUUUUCUUUUUAAAAUUCCGUUAGAAUCGUACUAAAAUUGUAAAAAAUCUAACAAAUACAUUUUGAAUUGGACAUUUCACAAAUACAUGUCCUACCAGUAUCAUACGAAUGUAAACAAAAUUCUUUCUUCAUAUGCCGCAUUCUUUUACUGUGAUAACUCAUUUCAACUCUCUCACAACUGAUUCGUAAUCUGUGGGAUGCAUUAAAGCCUUUUGCAGUUAAAUCAAUAGUAUAUGAUGAUGUGAAUGUUAUUUAUAUACUAAAUAUAAUCACAUAGUAACUUCAAAUUUGAUAAGGUACAACAUGUUACCAUAUCUCUUUUAAUUUCUUUUAUUUCAUUAUAUAUUUAGGUGUAUUUAAUUUCUUUUUAUUUCAUUGUGUAUUUAGGUGUAUUACGUAAAAUAUAUAAUUAAAAAGAAAGAAGAAUAAUGUUAUUUUUAAAUUUAAAGAAUGACAUAUAGAAAUAAACAAGCUAUUUUGAAAUUUUUAGAUUUUACAAAACAUUACAUUUUGAUUUUAAUAUUUAUAAAAUAUUUUUUAAUUUCAUAUUUAAAACACAACACUUAGUUGAGUGUGUUCCUUAGUUACUUACCAAAUAACAACAUACAUCUUAUCGGGUCUUUUUGCGACCCGACCCAAACUCAUCUCGAUCCUAGUAGGGUUCGCAUCAUCUUCAAUUGAGGAGUAGAUUUGUCAGGAGGAAAAUAAAUUGAUUUAUAAGAACAUGUGAAGUUGUUUAGAUUGAGGAAUAAUAGAUGGAUUUUGAUUAUGAUUUAUGGUAAGUUUAAAAAAAAUAGAUUUGUUUCUUUUAACAUUUUUUGUAUUAUAAUUAUUUGCUGGCUGAAUUGUUUUGAGUUAACAUGUUUUCUUGGGGUAUGAUAUUGUGAGGUUUUAUUACAUGCAGGUACGUGAAUAUUUUUUUUAUUCUAGUUGUAUAAAUCAGGAAAAAAUGUUUUUCACAAUAUAAUUAUAAUAACCGUUUAACAACCUAAAUAAUAAUAAAAUAUUAACUCAUAUUAUUUAAUUAAAUUAUUAAAUAAAAAGUAGUAAAACUGAUUGUAGGAUGGGAAUAUGAUUAUUUUUAACUGCUAGCUCCUCAUUAUUCUUUUAUAAUAAAAAACACACUAGUAGGUGUUGAAAAUCGUAAUAUAACAAACAAGUUUUGACACACGUAGGUUUGGCAAUUGUUUUAAUAGCUGAAAAUAGUAAAACAAUUUUUAAUUACCACAAACUGCAUCUUAAAUCAUAAAAAAUAGCAUUUUUUAGUUCAUAUAUAAUAACAUUUCCAUAAAUAAAUCUCCCGCCGCCAUUGAUAUUAAUCAUUAAUAAUUUUAGAUAAUAUUUUUUACUAUAAAACAUUUAAUUGAGAUUGAAUUUUUAAUUCACACUUUUUGGUCAAAGAAUAAUAUAUUUCAUUUUUUUAUUUAUUAAAUAUUUUGUAUAAUGCUGAGAAAAAAAAAUCUCACACACACACACACAUAUAUAUAUAUAUGAUCCCUAUGUCCUACAAGUACAAUAUAACAUCGUUAGUAUAAUGAAUAAAAAUAAUGAGUAUUCAAAGUCGUGUAUUUACGUAAAAGAAUAACAUGAUUUUUAAAAGAACUCACAUUAUCAGUUUAAAUUUUGACGAUAAAAUACAUUAAUUAUAUAUAUUUAUUCAAAAUUUCAAUUAUAUUAUGCAUUAAUGGUUUUAUGCUUUUAGAGGAAUCAGAGAAACUUAGAAAAGCUUAAUGAAACCCUAUGAAUAAAGGAGAUGUAAAAGAAAGAGAAAAAGGAAGUGAGAAAAGAUGAUAAUUAAUAAACACCCACUCUUCAUAACAUAGAGUCUUUAAACCUAUAUUCCCUCAAACAGCAUUUAUAAGUUAUUAUCACCCACAUGGAAUAAGGUGCCUCAAUGUGAACAAACCAAGAUCAGUAAGAAAUAUGAGGUUCAAAUAACGAAGCUGAGAAUUUUCUGGUUUUACAGCUCCAUGCACAAACCUAAUACAAUGAUAUGAUAUUCCAUAGGAUGGAGAAAAGUAUGAUAUGAAGAGGAUUUACCAAUUACCCUUUCGAAUGCAGCUCCUCAGGAUUCCAUCAUGCCUUCACUGCACAUGCAACCCAAAUAUGCUAAAGAAGUUAAUCAAACCCAAAUAUAAAGAAUUUCUAGAGAAUGCAACUCUGGGACAACAGAGUACCCCAUCUCAAGCUGAACAGAAACAUUAAACUAUAUCUAACAAUAACUUAGAAAUCUUUGUCAACAAUGAACGAAUCCAACCGUAAAAUGCCAUUGAAAAUGUAAAUAAAACAAAAUAAAUUAGAUAUGAGAAAUUCAUGAUAAAAUUUCAACACUUGUAAUGUAGAAGCAUUACGAUAAGCCAGUUUUGAUCCUCACCAAUGAAAGUCUAAUUAGCAGAAGAGGAAGAGACUAGUUGACUGGGUAGCUUUCUGCAAUGCCUAUUUUAAGGUUACGCUUCCGGCAAAAAUAUAAUAGAAGACUGCUCUCAUGUCAAAGUUUCUCAUACAUAGAACAACCCGCAAAAGAGAUUAAACAUUCCAAAAGAUGUCUCAACAGAAAUGAAAUGAGAUCCUAACAACUUGUUGGGAAAGUACUAUUUUGCCUUCAAUUCCAUUACUUCCUUUUGCCUUUAAGAGUGCAGUCAUAAUCAUCAAAAUACUUAGACUUUGUGAUAUGUCUUUUGGGCUUGCUAUUCAUCUUUUGUUGCCUCCUCUUGAGCCAUAACACUUUUGGCCUUCCUCUUCCUAUAUUCCCUUGUGUCUCUUGAAGACUGUGCAACAUUACUUCGACUGGAUUAUUCAAUGUGAACAGCACCACCAUAUUCAUCAUCUUUCUUUUUGGAAUAAAGAGGGCAUAUGCCGCAUUCUUUUACUCUGAUAUCGGGCCACCAAUGGCUGAUCUCAAAAGUGAAGCUGCGAGCAUCACAGAGCCUAAGGCUCAUGCCGCUUGCCCUUAGGGACUCCAAGUUAAAUUUCCACACAAAUGUGUGAUCUUUAUCAAGAAAUCUGCCUGCAUCCGUCAAGUUUAACACAUCAUUAUUUGGAAUGAUCUGUGUGCCAUCAUCAUCAGAUUCAAAUUUUAGGCUGUAACCAAAAGAACUAUAUCUACCUUUAAUAUCAUUCGUAUCUAACACUUCAAAAACCACGCACAAAGAGAAACCAGUGAGCCUAUUAUCGCUGCAAAAACUUAAAUCUUCAUUUAUAGUCACUGAAUGUCCCUUCCCACGAAAAUGGAACCAACCAGGAACUGCACUCCCUGGAUAACAGAAGAACACAGACCUAUAUGCAUCGUCGGUCAUCCUAAGCCUUGCAUCCUUCUCAAUGUUAGCACGACCACCUGAAUCCAGUUGUUGAGCAUUGGUGAAAUGAAAUUUGAAUACACCCUCUUUGGAAUUUGAGAGGUUCCGAACAAGAGAAUUUGACAUCACUUUUCUAAUGGAUGGGCAAUCCAAUGCCACGAGUUGUUUUAGAAAUGGUGGAAUCGGUGGGAUGCAUUCAAGCUUUUUGCAGUCGCUUAAAUCAAGCGAUUUCAAGCUCGAAAGAUGAGCAAUGCUCUCAGGAAGGUUCACGAUUCCGCUAUCACGCAGUGACAGUUCCAUUAAUGACGUCAAACGACCAAUGUGCCUUGGGAUUUCUGUUAAUUUGGCACACCCCGAACAAUCAAGUUUAGAGAGAAGCUUCAGAUUAACAAUGCAGUUUGGAAGUGACUCGAGAUCAGUGCAUUUGCGGAGCUCCAGGGAACGAAGAUUAACGAAAUUGGCAAAUGAGGAAGGCAGUUCUUUAACAGUCGUAGAUGUUAAGUUAAUGUGAGCAAAAGUAUGAGCCGACUCCGUGAUCUCUGGGAAGGUCCUCAGCCUUGAGCAACCACGCAAAUCAAGGUUCCUCAACUUCAAAUUGAAAAUGGUGCUUGGAAAAGUUUGAAGUGAAUUACAGUGGGCAAGGUCUAACUUGCAUAGUCUGGUGAGGCUUCCAAUGGAAGAUGGAAUAAUCUCAAGAUUGAAGCAACUGUGCAAACUCAGUUGUUGAAGCCCUACCAAACGGCACAAGGAUGAAGGUAGUGCCUGUAUGGCUGUGUCGUCUAAGAUGAGCACCGCUAGAUCUUCCAACGUGUCCUGAAUCUCGGGUAAAUUUUCCAGUUUUGAGCAACCACUGAGACAAAGUUGCUUUAGGAAUUUCAUAUCAGAAAGGUCAAACGGAAAGAUUGUAAGGGAAGAACAGUCAGAGAGAUCUAAGUAACAGAGGUUCUUGAGACUUUGAAAGUUUAAGGGCACACCUUCCAAGAGACUGUUGAACACCUCUGAGUCUUCUGAGUCUGUAGCAUUAUUAGCCACUUCUAUAUUAUAUCUGUCAAAAGUAAUUGACAAAAUUUCACUGCUUGGGGAAAUUUCACUGGAAGUUGGGAAAUUUAUCUCUUUCGUCAUAUCCAGUUCCUGACGCUCCAGUAUGACAUGAGGGAGAAAUUUAUCUUCAUGUUUACUGAUUGAAAACAUAUUAAGCUUCCGACAAUGGGAAAGAGUAAUCCAUCCUGGUGAUGUGGAUAAAAUGUUGCUCGGAAUAUUUACACUAUUCAGAUCAUCACAAUGAUCUAAACAUAAACAACUGAGUUUGCUGAGGAAUAUCGAAGAGUGAAUUUCAAUCAACUUUUUACAAUAACUCAGAAUUAUUUUUUCAAUAUUUGGUGACAUAGAAAGGUCUGGUAUUCUAGCAAGUUUCCAAGAACGUGUCAGGUCGAGCCUUUUCAAGUUGGGUAAAUUCUGCCACAAAAAGUAAAUGAAUCAGGUAACAAAUAAUAACUACUUUAUCUAUUUUUCUUCCUAUUUAAACUAUUAGCUACUACUAUUGAGUUUAUAUUUUACAUUACUUAAAAACCACUGUUAAAAAAGCCACACUGUGGACUAACAAAAUUAUAUUUUAAAAUAUUAUUAAAGAUAAAAUAUGAAGAUAGGGUAAUUAAAUUAAAUAUAAUUUUUAUUUUUCAGAAAUGAUGAAAAUUAUAAUUAAAUUAACUAAAUUAUAUAAAAUUCCAUUUUAUUUACAUAACUCCUUUUCAUAUUAAAAAACUAUAUAAGAUCUUGAAACUAUAAUUAAUAUCUUAAAAAUUUAAAUAAUAAUAAUUAUUUCUACUCAUCCUUAAUUUUUGUUGGUGAAAUCUUGAUUUUUGGGAUAAUAUCACUUAAACUUAAGAAAUAUUUGACAUUAAUGAACUCUAAACAAAUUUAUAUAAGAAAUCAAGACAUCACUUUCAAUCCGAAAUCUUAAACUAAUAGGUUUAUGGAUUUUCUUUAUAUGUUGUUCAUCUUACCAAUUUGAACCCAAUGCGAGACUUUCAACUCUAAGAGAUGAAGUGGUGUACUUUAUGCUUCUAGGACUUGUUAGAUAUUGAAACAUGUACCAUUGCUAAAAUGUUUGAAUGAAGGAGAAGUCAAAGUCUCUCUCCUUUAGAGAUAUUCGCUCAAGUGGCAAGAGGUUGAUUAAGCAAGAGAGAGAUCGUAUUAAUUCUCUCUUCUAUGCAAUUGUUGUCGUUCAAACAAUGUGGAAUCAUUCAAGCAAAGAAAUCUUCUUUUGGGUUAGGAAACAAGGUUUUUCAAGCGAGAUAAACUCGUCUAAAGAAUUUAACUCUAGUAGUGAAAUGUUGUUGCCAUGAUUUAGCCAAGUGUUUGUAUCUAUGAGGCUAAUGAUGAUGAUGACGAUGAUAAGAUGCAUGAAUGUGUAUACACAAGUGUAUGAUAUACCUCAUGUUAUAUAUUGUAUGUGAUUCAAUUGAUGACCAUUUAUUUUUAGGCCAUUUAUAUGUAUAUUUUGGCCCUUUUAUGAGUAUGUGACGAGAUAUACCUAAGAUUGUAUUAUGAUCCUAAUGAGUCGAAGUAUCAAACACAAAACUCAUUAUGGAAAAAAAAAGAUAUUUUGUGCAUCAGUUAUGAUAUGAUCACAACAAUUAAAGCAUGUGUGAACGGUUAAUAUUGUUCUUAAUAAGAAAACAAAUAAUAUUGUAUGUGACAUUAGAGAUGUCAAAUAGGUUUAGAAAAUUAUUAAGUUUAAUUAUCUUUUUAGUCUUUAUAUUAAUGACCAAAAGUCAAUUCAGAUUUUUAGAAAGUUCAAUAUGAUUUAAUUUUUUAAAAAACAAUUCAAUGUGAUUCCUUCUAGUAUAUUUCCCUUAUUAAAAUAUUUUUAUCUUAAUGAUUCUGCCACUGUUAAGUUAUAUGUGUUGUUAUCACAUUGAAUUGUUUUAAAAAAAUUUGGAACCACCACAUUAAAUUGUUUUAAAAAGUUAGUACUAAAUUGAACUUUUGAAAAUUGGGAGAAUGAAAUUAAAUUUUGUCUAUUAAUACAGGGACAAAAAAUAAUUGAAUCAAAUAUUUUACUAUUUUUGUGAUGUAUAUUUAUAUAUAAAUAAUUUUGAGAAUUUAGAGUUACAAUGUGUUAUAUCAUAUAUAUAUAAUUCUUUUUGGUAAUGUAUCCUGUAGUUGUAAGCAAGUAUGAUUAUAUUAAGUGGGGCGUUUCAAAUAGUGGAGACUACGCAUAUACAAAUAUCUCUUAUAAAGUAAGAAAACAAAACAAUCGUUACUCAAGAAGAUCAUGCAAUGCAUCACAGACAACAUGGGAGAUAUAUAUCAACAAUAAUAUGAGUAAAUAAUACAUUCAUGGGCCAUUAGACGAUAUGCCUAAAAAAAAUAUGCAAACUAUUAAAUUUAUAAUUAUUUUUAAUUAGAAACAUGCUGAGUAUGACUCUUAUGAUAUAUGUAUAACUGUGUGCUUCAAAUAAAAGAAAUUUCAAAUCGAAUAAUGUGGAGAAGGCACAAAGGAAUUGCAAAUGAAAACCUGUAGAUGUAUAAUACACAAAACAUGCUUGUCUAAUUUAUUUUUAUCUUUGAAAGUUUAGAACACAAAGGAACAUAGAUAACUUGAAAAACCUGAUCUCCUUCCCAGAGUUGUUCAAGAUCGCAGUAUGGCAUUUCGAGGAUCACUAGAUUUUGUGGGCAAAAGUUUGGAGGCCAGAAUCUUUGAAGGAAACCGUUCCAAUAAAGAAACUUUAGAGUGUCCGGCAGACCUACAAGAGAUGAUUCAAGAGACACUUUUGAAUUCAAUCUAGGCAUGUAGACCAUAAGCAUCAUAAGAUUGUCCAUCUUUUCGAAACUUUGUGCAUGUACUACAGCAUCUUUUACUUUGUUCGUAUGAUAUUGAUAUACACUGUAUUGCAUCUGACCCCUGAAAGUAAAUCAAUGUAAUUAGAAAAAAAAACAUGAAAUGUUGCAUUUCAGGAUGCUUAAUGACAGCUCAGUAGUUUUCUAUUUUUCACAAAGUAACAACAGCAUAUACCUUGUUCUUUCUUAAAACCUCACAAAUUUCCUCAUCAUUAAACAAUCGGCUGCGUUUUCCAGGAUGCUGAGGACACUCUUUACGAACAAUUUCUUUACCCAUUUCUUGUAUUAGAUCGUGCAUCACAAUUCUACCAUCAAAGACAGAGAUUAGACCCCUAUCUUUGAGAAUAUCCAUUCCAAUCUUAGAAGAGAAACCACAGUCAUCAAGUGUUUCUGCUACCACAGUCUCCUCUUGCCCUCUAUAAAAGCAAGCUAUGUCAAGAAAUAUAUUCUUCUCCUCCUCCUUGAGCCCAUAAUAACUUAAUUUUAAUACGUCGAAAGUUCCAAGAUCUUGGCCGUUUUCCAACUUUUGCAACUGACUCUCCCAUGCUUCUCUUGUUCUGCCAUAAAGCAAUGACCCCAAAAUCUGGAGAGCUAACGGAAUUCCUUUUGCAUAUCUCAACACCUUUACUGACAGGUCCAUGUAAGCAAUUCCUUCUGAAGAUUUUUGUUUAAAAGCAUGUAAACUAAAAAGUUUCAGAGAAUCAUAAAAAUUCAACUCCUUAACUUCGUAGAUAUCAUCAGCUCCAGCAUUCUUAAGCACUUGUCUGUCUCUACUGGUCAUAAUGAUUCUACUGCCCUGCCCAAAACUAUCACUCCCACCUAUUAAUUUUUGAAGUUGAGUUGAAUCGGUAACAUCAUCAAGAAUGAGGAGAACCUUUGUCCGUUUGAGCCUUUCAUUGUAAUAUGGUAAAUAAGAGGAUUUCUCUUCCUUUAGAAGCUCAGACUGAUAUUUUGUUCUGAUACCGUCUAUUCCAUCUCUUUGUAUUUUUUCUUGAACGUCUAAAACAAGGCUGCUGGAAUCAAACUGCAAUGCCAAUUUCUGAUAUAUUUGAUCACAAAUUGUAGUUUUUCCUAUUCCUCCCAUGCCACAAAUUCCUAUGAUCCGAACAUCCGUUGACUCAAGAUGCAACAAGGACUGAAUUCCUUCAAUAUUUUUUUCAAUGCCGAUGAUUCCUUGAUCAUAACUGGCGGAAUAACGAUUCAAUUUUCUCAAAAUAUCUUCCACAAUUUCUUCAACAAGUGCGUGUUCUGGCCUGGCAGAUGAUUUAGAAAAUAAAGUAUAAGUAUUCAAGCACAAAAGCUAAAGUAAACUAAAGAAAAAUUUUACAGUAACCGUUUGUGACUUCUGAUACUAGGGAGCAUACUUGUAGGUACAAAGUUAAGCUAUUGUGUGAUAUGGUUCAGAUCUAUGACCGACUAAUAGAAAUGAAAAAAGAAGCACUUGAUUUAUGGUGAGAUGAACACAAUUUUAGUAAAUGAAAAGAGAUCCUGAUUAUCUAAUAAAUAUAAUGACCUGGUGACUUUUGAAUCCCAGCCUGCAAGUCCAGCAGCUUCGGUGAGAGCAUCCUUCCAUCCUUGCACUGUGUCGUGCUUAAAGUGCUGCUCAUGCUCAUUGAAUGCUUCUUUGUAUCUUUCUUCCUGCUUCCUAAUAGUUGAUGGAUCCACCUUGUAGAAAACAGGUAUCACAUCCCUUCCAUAUCUCUUCUUGCAAUCAAGUAUCUUAGUGAGUUCAUCCAAGCACCAUGUGGAAGAUGCAUAGUUUUUGGAGAAAACGAUGACAUAAAUCUUUGAUUCUUCUAUUGCAGAGAGGAGUACAGGUGAAAUUUCUUGGCCCCUGAGUAAUCUGUAAUCAAUAUAUGCUUGAAUGUUCUUCCUUUGCAGCGCUGCAUAAAGGUGACUAAUGAAGUUGUCACGUGUGUCUUCCCCUCUGAAGCUGAGAAACACAUCAUGCUUUGUUAAAGAAGCAGACAUGGCCAAUGAUGAAGGGUUUCAAUGUUCUCUGCAACUCUCAGAUCCCUUUGUUUGUAAGCAACUUCCAUAUAUUCUAUUAGGAAGGAAAAUAUAUAUUUCUACCAUUCCUACCACAAAUUGAAAAAGCCUUUCAAUUUUCUCAAAAUAUCUUUCACAGCUGUGUUCUGUCAGAUACGAAACAUUGAGUCAAUGGAAGAGUCAACAAUUGGCAGAAUAUUAUGGUGUGUAGCUUUAUACCAUUCUUACAAUAUUUGAUUGGUUGAAUAUAUACAAUAUGACUAAUGAACUUUUUUCUUUUCCGUAUUCCACGAUAAUUCCCUAGGCACCCUAUUAUACACUUUCUUAUCAACGGAAACCAUGUCUGUCCUUUUAUAGUUUUAAUCCUAUAAUAUCUUUCCAUUAAUCAUCAUUAUCACUCUUCAACCUUCAUAUCAAGUGUAUUGAUUUCAUACUUCAUCAGCUAGACAUAAUAAAAUCUCAAUAAUCUUUUAUACUGUCAACAUUUAUAAAAAAUAUUUCCUUCAAUAAUAUUUGUACUUUCUAGCAUAUAGAAUACUUAAUGGAUUCUUCUGUGAUUUUUCUUUCCUAAAGUACAAUUGAUAUUUUAACAGAUGCCGAAAGGUCUUGAAUAUGAGGCUGUUUCGAAAUGAAAAUUGGGGUAAAGCAUUUUCAAGUUAACAAGUUUUGUUGGGUGAGUGAGUGAUCAGUGCUAGCAUUUUCAAUCUCAGUUAUAGAAUGUAAAGAUUUACACAUUUAUUUGCUGAUUAAUAAUUUAUUUAUUGAAUUAAAUGUUUUAACAGUGAGUAUGGAUUCUUGAAUGAAUGUAAUCAUGGUGUAGAAUGUACAUAGUACAUAUAGUGAGUUGGAUUGAAAUGUUGAACACGUUUUCCUCUGCAAAGAUUCAGGAUAUUUAUGAACUUGCUAUAAAUUGUUUUAACUUUUCUCUGCAACUCUCAGUCCCUUUGUUUCUACCAUUUUGUUUUUGAAAAGCCUUUCAAUUUUCUCAAAAUAUCUUUCACUGCUGUGUUCUGUCAGAUACGAAACAUUGAGUCAAUGGAAGAGUCAACAAUUCGUAGAAUAUUAUAUUAUGGUGUCAAUAUUUAAUAAAUUUAUUUAUUUCUUUAACAUAUUUUAGAAAAUAACCAGUAAACAUAAAACUUUUAGUAUGACUAAAAGAAUAAAGAUAGUGUAAGAAUAACAGGAAUAACAUUACUACAAAUAACAAUAUAUUAAUAUUAAUAUGUUUCUUAAUAAAUUUUACACCCACUGUCUAUUUAUAAAUUAAUAUAUUAUAAACAUCUAUUGAUUUUUUGUGGGUAGCUUAUUUCUGUAACAUUUUAAAUUAAUUUUUUAGAUUUUACAAAACAUUACAUUUUGAUUAUAAUAUUUAGGACUGUGAUGCAAUUUCUGCAAUGAAGGCUGGCAGACUAAGUUUCUCCAAGCCCAAUUAAUACUGGGUUGAAAAUUCUGAGAAGAGGGUGAGUAUGAUGCUGCGGUCAUGAUCUAUGUAUUAAAGUGUUAAGGCAUGGGUUUGGUUGACAGGACAAUACUGGUUUUUCAUUGCUACUACUUAAUAUGAUUCUUUCUUACUGCUAUAUGAAUUUGCUGUCAAAUAGCAGUAAAUAAAAGACUUCAAAUAAAGCAUGUGUUUAUCAUACAUGGACUAAUGCAGCAGUUUUAGUAGAAGGGGCUAAUAUGAUUUUAAUCUAGAACAAGAUGGCUAAACCCAAAGAUGGUGGGAAUAAUAUCCUCAAAUCAAUUGUUUUGGUUUUCAGUGUAAUGUCAUUUGUAAGUAUCAAAAUUUGUUUGUUAUCACAUUGGAAGGUAGUAUCUGUCAUGAAAUUUGUGGAAGACCUUUACCUAUGUUUGCUUUGGGUCUGUUUUACGCCCUCUCGAAUUAAGUAAAUUUUUAAUUGCCAUCAUGAAAUUAGGCUAAAUAUGUGUAGUUUUGAGCACUUUCUUUCUUCCAUUUCAAUUCAUAGUUUCAUACAUAUUCAAUAUCAUGUGGGAAUUAAGUUCUUGCUUUUAAGGUGAAUAACAGUUUGUAUUCUUGCAGAAAACUAUUUUCUAAUGCAUAUAAAUUUCAUUUUCUAUUUUCAGCAUUGGAUUAUGUUAUGUAAUUUUUCCUUUGUAUUAUACAGAGUAGGAUUUUAAUGUUUCUACUGAACAGUGCUAUCUUUUUUCGUCCAUAUUCUGAUUUUGUUCAAUUUUUUUCAGUAUGUGCCACAUGCAGAUCAGAUGUAAGGAAUUUUCUAAAUUUUUUUUCAAGCUUUCUUGUUUGCUUAAAGUUUUCUGUAAGUAUUUAACUGUCUUAAGUUGUUAAUGAGGACUAAGGACUGAAAAAGAGAAUUAGCCAUGACAUGGUGGCAUUAUCCUUCUUCAAAACCAUUAGUUUUUUUUCCUACAAAGAUACAUGUCAAGAAAGCAAACCAGGAACAAAAGUGAUGUUUAUGAUUGCUUUCUCUCUUGUUUACUUGCUUUCUUUUUGUUGGACAAUUGUCUUAAUUGCAUUCACACCUAACCUGCAGUAGUUUCAGUCCCUUUGGGGUUGUCAUAAUUGCAGCCUCAAGAGUGGUGGUGUAGUCCAACAUCAACCAGUGAUAUAGUUCAAAUAUAGCAUAUACAUGAAAGUCGUGUUGAUAAUCAAAGGUUGCUUCAUCUUAACUAAUAACAUGUAAAUGUCAUUUGAAUGGUUAAAAAGGAAUUCACCAGUGUAACACAAAAUGAAUGGAUUGCUUGGUUAUGUGUCAACUGUUGUACUUUUUUUGAGUUGCUUGAAAAUAAUUAAAAUUUGUUUUCAUCUAGAUCUUGGUUUUUUCCUAUGAUCAAAUCUCGAUUUAUUUCUGUGCAGAACUUUCUUGUGGACAUAAAAGGACCAGCUAUAGCAUUUUUACCGGUGCUUGCAUUUGAAGGAGGAACUAGAAGAAAUAUACCUAGGUUUGAGGUGUGUAUAAAUUAUUUUUGAUGUAUUUCGUGAUGUAGAUGUAAAAUAAUGCAAUACUUUGUUUUUAGUUUCAAUGUUACUCUUUAUCUGCAGGUUGGAAACAUAUCUUGAUGAAAUAUAGAAACAUUUUUAUUCAUAAUAUAUAUAUAAGGAUUACACAUUCAUAAUUAUUUCUUUCUGUCGUAGCAUUGUCUACCUCAAAUCACUGCAACUUUCUGUUGUUGGUAUAAAAAUACAAUAUUUUAAUCCCAGUUUUGAUAGCCUCUAUUCUUCAGUGGUUGAGAUAUUUUUUAUAAGAAUUUAGAAGUUCUGAGAUAUUUAUGAUAAGAAUUUCAAGUUCUUUGUUACUAGCAGUUUAAUGGUUAUAUCAUUUUUGUUCUCUGGAAAAUAUCUUAUACAAAAUCGGUACUUAGAUUUGGUAUUUAUAUUGUUCAUAUGUAGAAAUCUAAUACUAGCAAAUUUUGUCUAAUUUAAAAGCAAUUACAUUCUACUCUUUGGAAUAUGUUCUGGCCUGCUUUUAUGAAUUAUUUGAAAAUUUGUAAUUAUAAAAUUUAGUCUUUGAAAUUAUAAAUUUAAUAGAGAAGCAUCCAUACUAAACUUUUAUAUUAUAAAUUGUCAGUUUUAUAUUGAAAACAUAUCCCCUUUAGUAUAAGACUUAAAGGAGAUGUCUUUUGGUAUAAAAACUGAAAUAAAAAAUAUUUUAACUAUAUGGGUCAAAUGGAUGAUUAAACUUAUAAAAUGUACAAUUAAACUUAUAAAUUAUAAUAAACGAUACUUUAAUUUUAAACUAUAUUGAACUUUUAUUAAUGUUCUCGCUUUUCUUUAAAAGCUAUUGAACUCUAUCUAACAAUAACUUAAAAAUGAGAAAUUCAUGAUAAAAUUUCAACACUUGUAAUCUAGAAGUAUUACGAUAAGCCAGAAGAGGAAGAGACUAGUUGACUGGGUAGCUUUCGGCGUUCCUCUUCCUAUCUUCCCCUGUUUCUCCUGAAGAGUGUGCAACAUUGCUUCCACUGAAUUCUUCAAUGUCAUUUUCUGAUGCAGAAUAGUCAACAGCACCACCAUAUUUAUCAUCUUUCUUUUUCGUAUAAAGAGGGCAUAUGCCGCAUUCUUUUAUUCUGAUACCUGAUUUCAACUCUCUCUCAACUGAUUCGUAAUCUGGCCGAUUUGGCCGCAGAAAGGGAUCAUACGGACUGAUCUCAAAAGUGAAGCUGCGAGCAUCACACAGCCUAAGGCUCAUGCCGCUCGCCAUUAGGGACUCCAAGUUAAAUUUCCACACGAAUGUCCCUUCACCAUCCCAUUUGAAAUAGCUAUUUAACACACCCUUAUAUGGAAUGAUCUGUGUGCCAUCAUCAUAUUCAAAUUUUAGGCUGUAACGAAAAGAACCAUAUCCACCUUUAAUAUCUAACACUCCAAAAGCUACACACAAAGCGAAACCAGUGAGCCUAUCAUCGCUGCAGAAACUUAAAUCUUCAUUUAUAGUCACUGAAUGUCCCUUCCCACGAAAAUUGAACCAACCAGGAACUGCACUCCCUGGAAAACAGAACAACACACACCUAUAUGUAUCGUCGAUCAUCCUAAGCCUUGCAUCCUCCUCGAUGUUAGCACGAGCACCUGAAUCCAGUUGUUGAGCAUUGGUGAAAUGAUAUUUGAAGACACCCUCUUUGGAAUUUGACAAGUUUGGAACAAGAGAAUUUGACAUCACUCUUCUAAUGGAUGGGCAAUCCAAUGCCUCGAGUUGUUCUAGAAAUGGUGGAAUCGGUGGAAUGCAUUCAAGCUUUUUGCAGUCGCUUAAAUCAAGUGAUUUCAGGCUUGAAAGAUGAGCAAUGCUCUCAGGAAGGUUCACGAUUCCGCUAUCACGCAGUGACAGUUCCAUUAAUGACGUCAAGCGACCGAUGUGUCUUGGGAUUUCUGUUAAUUUGGCACACCCCGAACAAUCAAGUUUAGAGAGAAGCUUCAUAUUAACAAUGGAGUUUGGAAGUGACUCGAGAUAAGUGCACUCUUGGAGUUCCAGGGAUCGAAGAUUAACCAAAUUGCCAAAUGAGGAAGGCAGUUCUUUAACAGCCGUACAUGUCAAGUCAAUAUGAGCAAAAGUAUGAGCCGGCUUCAUGAUCUCUGGGAAGGUCCUCAGCCUUGAGCAACCACCCAAAUCAAGCUUCCUCAAUUUCAAAUUGAAAAUGGUGCUUGGAAAAGUUUGAAGUGAAUUACAGUAGGUAAGGUGUAACUUGCAUAGUCUGGUGAGGCUUCCAAUGGAAGAUGGAAUAAUCUCAAGAUUCAAGCAACUGUGCGAACUCAGUUGUUGAAGCCCUACCAAACGGCACAAGGAUGAAAACUUAUUUUAUUUUUGCUGUUCAUGCAUAACAUUAACAAAUAUUGACAUGAGAGAUUGUGUUUGUAGGCUUCUAAGCUCACCAACGUGUCCCGUUCUUGAUGCUUUAGGGAAGAAAAUUUCCUUUGAGAUUGCAAAAGGACUCAGGAGAAUUUAGAAGUUCUGAGAUAUUUAUGAUAAGAAUUCAAGUUCUUUGUUACUAGCAGUUUAAUGGUUAUAUCAUUUUUGUUCUCUGGAAAAUAUCUGAUACAAAAUUGGUACUUAGAUUUGGUAUUUAUAUUGUUCAUAUGUAGAAAUCUAAUACUAUAGCAAAUUUUAUCUAAUUUAGAAGCAAUUAUAUUCUACUCUUUGGAAUAUGUUCUGGCCUGCUUUUAUGAUUGUAAUUAUAAAUUUAAUAGAGGAGAUUACCAAACAUCCAUACUAAUUAAACUUUUAUAUUAUAAAUUUUUUCAGUUUUAUAUUGAAAACAUAUCCCUUUAGUAUAAGACUUAAAGGAGAUGUCUUUUGGUAUAAAAACUGAAAUAAAAAAUCUUUUAACUAUAUGGGUCAAAUGGAUGAUUAAACUUAUAAAUGUACAAUUAAACUUAUAAAUUGUAAUAAACGAUACUUUAAUUUUAAACUCUAUUGAACUUUUUUUAAUGUUCUCGCUUUUCUUUUAAAUGCAUUUCACUUGUGUGUUUUGUAUUCAGGCUGAUUUUAACUUUAUUCUCAAAUAUACAAAAUAAUUUUUGGUAAUUAUCUUGUGUCGAUCUUGACUUGUAGUAUCAAUGUGAAAUAUGUAAUAAUUACUUUUCUAUGAUUCAGAGGGAAAAUUAUUCCAACUAGACUUUUACAAAUAUAUUUCAAGUGGUAAUAUGAUUUUAAAAAAAAUAGGAUUCGCCACAAAAAAAAGUUACUGUUCCUAAUUGACAUGGUGCUGUCAAAAUUAUUUAAUUACAAUUUAGAUCUUCACUCUACAUAUAAUUAAUUAAUUACCAAUUAUUUAAAAGACUAGUAAAUUAUAAUUUUAAUCUCUCUACAACUUUCUAAAUUUAGUUAUGAUUCUCUCAAAAAAAUUUCCCUUAAAUAUUAAUUAUAAUUACCUUUAGACAGAAACAUUUCUAAUUUAAACAAGCAAAAAUAAGAAAAAAAAAUAGAUUACAAAAACUAAAUUUGAAUUUUUUUAUAUAACUCCAAAUAUAUUUUAUCCAUAAAUAAAUUCUAUUAAUAUUUCAUUUCUGUUUAAAUAGUUUAUUCAUAUUUGUAAUAUUAUUUUCAAAAAACAAUAAUUGUUUUUUGAAUAAAGGUUUACAAAUUCUAUAAUAAUGUAAAUGAGAAGAGGAGUGAGGGUAAAAAUAUGAGAACCUAUGUGAGGGAAUCUUGUGACAAUUUAGCUGGUGUUCAACUUGUGAGAAGUCUUUCAACUUGGUUUUCAAGUUUUAUAUUCAAUUUCUGUUCCUUCAAAUGUUUCUGAUUUUACAGCUCCUCAGGAUUUUACAGCUCCAUGCACAAACCUAAUACAAUGAUAUGAUAUUCAAUCAGCAUUAAUUAGCAUAAACAGGUACCUUGUUGUAAAACUGGGAAUAUGAGAUUCCAUAGGAUGGAGAAAAGUAUGAAGAGGAAUUACCAAUCACCAUUUACCAAUCAUAAUGCCUUCACUACAAAUGCAACCCAAAUAUGCUAAAGAAGUUAAUGAAACUAUAUAUGAAGAGUUUCAAGAAGAUGCAACUCUGGGACAACAGAGCAACCCAUCUCAUGCUGAACACAAACAUCAAACUACAUCUAACAAUAAUUCAGAAAUCUUAAUCAACAAUUGAGCGAACCCACUCCUAAAAUGCCAUUGAGAAUGUAAAUAAAUCAAAAUACAUUAAAAACGAGAAAUUCUUAAUAAAAAUUCAACGUGUUGAACCUUGUAAUUUAGAAGUAUUAACGAGAAGCCAGUUUAGAUCCUCACCAAUGAAAGACUAUUUUACAGGUUAGCUUCCACUGGAUUCUUCAAUGUGAACAGCACCACCAUAUUUAUCAUCUUUCUUUUUGGAAUAAAGAGGGCAUAUGCCGCAUUCUUUUAUUGUCACAACUGACCACCCAAAGUCAUAAAGAGGACUGAUCUCAAAAGUGAAGCUGCGAGCAUCACACAGCCUAGGGCUUAGGGAUUCUAAGUUAAAUUUCCAGACGAAUGUGUGAUCUUUAUCAACAAAACUGUAUUCACCAUUCCAUUUGAAAUGUCUGUUUAACCUAUCAUUAUUUGGAAUGAUAUGUGUGCCAUCAUCAUCAGAUUCAAAUUUUAGGCUGUAACCAAAAGAACCAUAUCUACCUUUAACAGAAUUCGUAUCUAACACUCCAAAAACCACACACAAAGCGAAACCAGUGAGCCUAUCAUCGCUGCAGAAACUUAAAUCUUCAUUUAUAGUCACUGAAUGUCCCUUCCCACGAAAAUGGAACCAACCAGGAACUGUACUCCCUGGAAAACAGAAGAACACAGACCUAUAUCUAUCAUCGGUCAUCCUAAGCCUUGCAUCCUCCUCAAUGUUAGCACGACCACCUGAAUCCAGUUGUUGAGCAUUGGUGAAACGAAAUUUGAAGACACCCUCUUUGGAAUUUGACAAGUUUUGAACAAGAGAAUUUGGCAUCACUCUUCUAAUGGAUGGGCAAUCCAAUGCCACGAGUUGUUUUAGAAAUGGUGGAAUCUGUGGGAUGCAUUCAAGCUUUUUGCAGUCGCUUAAAUCAAGCGAUUUCAAGCUUGAAAGAUGAGCAAUGCUCUCAGGAAGGUUCACGAUUCCGCUAUCACGCAGUGACAGUUUCACUAAUGACGUCAAGCGACCGAUGUGUCUUGGGAUUUUUGUUAAUUUGGCACACCCCGAACAAUCAAGUUUAGAGAGUAGCUUCAGACUAACAAUGGAGUUUGGAAGUGACUCGAGAUCAGUGCAUUUGCGGAGCUCCAGGGAUCGAAGAUUAACGAAAUUGGCAAAUGAGGAAGGCAGUACUUUAACAGCCGUAUAUGAUAAGUCAAUGCGAGCAAAAGUAGGAGCCCGCUCCGUGAUAUCUGGGAAGGUACUCAGGCUUGAGCAACCACACAAAUCAAGCUUGCUCAAUUUCAAAUUGAAAAUGCUGCUUGGAAAAGUCUGAAGUGAAUUACAGCGGGUGAGGUGUAACUUGCAUAGUCUGGUGAGGCUUCCAAUGGAAGAUGGAAUAAUCUGAAGAUUGAAGCAACUGCGCAAACUCAGUUCUUCAAGCCCUAUCAAACGGCACAAGGAUGAAGGUAGUGCCUGUAUGGCUGUGGCGUCUAAGAUGAGCACCGCUAGAUCUUCCAACGUGUCCUGAAUCUCGGGUAAAUUUUCCAAUUUUGAGCAACCACGGAGAGAAAGUUGAUUUAUGAAUUUCAUAUCAGAAAGGUCAAUUGGAAAGAUUGUAAGAGAAGAACAGUGAGAGAGAUCUAUGUGAGAGAGCUUCUUGCCACUAAAUUGUAAGGGCACACCUUCGUAGUCUUCUGAGUAUUCUGAGUCUGUAGCAUUAUUAGCAUUUAUCUCUUUCAUCAUAUCCGGUUCCUGACGCUCCAGUAUGACAUGAGGGAGAAAUUUAUCUUCAUGUUCACCCAAUGAAAACAUAUUAAGCUUCUCACAACCGGAAACACUAAUCCAUCCUGGUGAUGUGGAUAAAAUGUUGCUGGGAAUAUUUACACUUUUGAGAUUAGAACAAUGAUCUAAACAUAAACAACUGAGCUUGGUGAGGAAUAUCGAAGAGUGAACUUCAAUCAACUUUGAACAAUAACUCAGCUUUAUUUCUUCAAUAUUCGGUGACAGAGAAAGGUCUGGUAUUCUAGUAAGUUCCCAAGAUUUAACCAGGUCGAGCCUUUUCAAGUUGGGUAAAUUCUGCCAGAAAUAGUAAAUGAAUGAGGUAACAAAUAAAAACUACUUUAUCUAUUUUUCUUCCUAUUUAAACUAUUAGCUACUAUCUAUUGAGUUUAUAUUUUACAUUACUUAAAAACCACUGUUAAAAAAACCACACUGUGGACUAACAAAACUCUGCCUAUAAAUUUUAUAGUUAUUAUAAAAAAUCACAAAAUUUAACGUCUUUUUGUUCCCUACCUAAAAUUACAUCCUAAUCAUUUGAACCUAAACUUAUUAUGUAUUCAAAAACUUAUGAUAGUAAUUUAUAAUCGAUCACAAUGUCAAAAUACUUUAUAUUAUACAUGUAUCAACUCACAAAAUAAAUGGUGUUGUCUCAGAUUUAAAAUUAAACCUUAGUUAAAAAGUCCAUCUUUCCAUAAUUUAUUUUAUUAAAUACAUAAUUUGUAAUUUAUUGUAUAUUAUAUUCAAGUUUAUGUUAUGAUAAAAAAAGUAUCUAAGGCAUUUUUAAUUAAAUAAUAUAAAAUAAACAACAUGAACUCAAUUAAAUAAUAUAAAUUUUUUUGAAUACUCGAUGGAAUAAAAAAAUUAAUAAAACCCUCAAUUUGAAAAUAACCAAAUUUAUAAGAUACUUAAAACUUAAUUAAACCUACAAAUUUUCAUUAUAUGGAAUUAAAUAUUGUAAAGAUUUACCACAUAAGUUUCAUAAGUAGAAGGUUUAAACAUAAAAUUCUUCACGUUGGGAGUUUCUUUCCUCUAUCUUAUAAGUUUUCGUUGUUUCUUUAAUAUUUUUUAUAUGGCUUCUGUCAAUGUAAUUUUUUUUUUGGUUUUAAAAUAUUAUUAAAGAUAAAAUAUGAAGACAGGGUAAUUAAAUUAAAUAUAAUUUUUAUUUUUCAGAAAUGAUGAAAAUUAUAAUUAAAUUAACUAAAUUAUAUAAAAUUCCAUUUUAUUUACAUAACUCAUUUUCAUAUUAAAAAACUAUAUAAGAUCUUCCAAAGUAGAUAUAAUACAUUCACGGGCCAUUAGAUGAUAUGCCUAAAAAAAUAUGCAAACUAUUAAAUUUAUAAUUAUCUUUAAUUAGAAACAUGCUGAGUAUGACUCAAAUAAAAGAAAUUUCAAAUCGAAUAAUGUCGAGAAGGCACAAAGGAAUUGCAAAUGAAAACUUGUAUAUGUAUAAUACAGAAAACAUGCUUGUAUAAUUUAUUUUUAUCUUUGAAAGUUUAGAACACAAAGGAACAUAGAUAGCUUGAAAAACCUGAUCUCCUUCCCAGAGUUGUUCAAGAUGGCAGAAUGGCAUUUCGAGGGUCACUAGAUUUUGUGGGCAAAAGUUUGGAGGCCAAAAUCUUUGAGGGAAAUGUGUCCAAUAAAGAAUCUUUAGAGUGUCUGGCAUAUCCACAAGAGGUGAUUCAAAAGACACUUUUAAUUCCAAUCCCCACGUGUAGAGCCUAAGCACCCUAAGAUUGUUCAUCUUUUCGAAACUUUGUGCAUGUACUACAACUUCUUUUACUUUGAAAGUAGAUAGUGAUAUACACUCUAUUGAAGUAGAUAGUGAUAUACACUCUAUUGCAUCUGACCCCUGAAAGUAAAUCAUGAAAUGUUGCAUUGCAGGAUGUUUGAUGACAGCUCAGUGGUUUGCAAUUUUUCACAAAGUAAAUCCAUUCUCAAUUGAGUAACGACAUAAUACCUUGUUCUUUCUUAAAACCUCUCAAAUUUCCUCAGCAUUAAACAAUCGGCUGCGUUUUCCAGGAUGCUGAGGACACUCUUUACGAACAAUUUCUUUACCCAUUUCUUGUAUUAGAUCGUGCAUCACAAUUCUACCAUGAAAGACAGAUAUUAGGCCCCUAUCUUUGAGAAUAUCCAUUCCAAUCUUGGAAGAGAAACCACAGUCAGCAAGUAUUUCUGCUACCACAAUCUCUUGUGACCUAUAUAAAAGCAAGCUAUGUCAAGAAAUAUAUUCUUCUCCUCCUCCUCGAGCCCAUCAUAACUUAAUUUUAAUACAUUGAAAAUACCAAGAUGUUGGCCCUUUUCCAACUUUUGCAACUGACUCUCCCAUGCUUCUCUUGUUCUUCCAUAAAGCAAUGACCCCAAAAUCUGGAGAGCUAAUGGAAUCCCUUUUGCAUAUCUCAACACCUUUUCUGACAGUUCCCUGUAAGCAAUUUCUUCUGAAGAUUUUUGUUUAAAAGCAAGUAAACUAAAAAGUUUCUGAGAAUCAUCAAAAUUCAACUCCUUAACUUCGUAGAUAUCAUCAGCUCUAGCAUUCUUAAGCACUUGUUUGUCUCUACUGGUGAUAAUGAUUCUACUGCCCUGCCCAAAACUAUCACUCCCUCUUAUUAAUUUUUGAAGUUGAGCUGAAUCGGUAACAUCAGUUAGAAGUGGAACACGUUUGUAGAAGUGGAACACGUUAGUUGGUUAGUUGCCUUAAGAAGCGGAUCAUGUAUUUUUUCUUGAACGUCUAAAACAAGGCUGCUGGAAUCAAACUGCAAUUCCAAUUUGUGAUAUAUUUGAUCACAAAUUGUAGUUUUUCCUAUUCCUCCCAUGCCACAAAUGCCUAUGAUCCGAACAUCCGGUAAGUCAAGAUGCAACAAGGACUGAAUUCCUUCAAUAUUUUUUUCAAUGCCGAUGAUUCCUUGAUCAUAACUGAUGGAAUAACGAUUCAAUUUUCUCAAAAUAUCUCCCACAAUUCCUUCAACAAGUGUGUGUUCUGACCUGGCAGAUGAUUUAGAAAAUAAAGUAUAAGUAUUCAUGCACAAAAGCUAAAACAAAACUAAAGAAAAAUUCAGAGUCAAGAAGAGUGAACAUCAUUGAAUAGAUUCACAUAUUGAUUGUAGGACGUUAUCUUCGAAUAUUAGUGUGGUUGGUUUAGAAAUUGCAAAUCAAGAUCGCAGAAAUUCUACAGUAACCGGUAGUGACUUCUGAUACUAGGAAGCAGUCUUGUAGGUACAAAGUUAAGCUAUAAGAUGUGAUAUGGUUCAGAUCUAUGACCCACUACGAAAAAUGGAAAAAAGAAACACUUGAUUUAUGGUGAGAUGAACACAAUUUUAGUAAAUGAAAAGAGAUCCUGAUUAUCUAAUAAAUAUAAUGACCUGGUGACUUUUGAAUCCCAGCCUGAAAGUCCAGCAGCUUCGGUGAGAGCAUCCUUCCAUCCUUGCACUUUGUCGUGCUUAAAGUGCUGCUCAUGCUCAUCGAAUGCUUCUUUGUAUCUUUCUUCCUGCUUCCUAAUAGUUGACGGAUCCACCUUGUAGAAAACAGGUAUGACAUCCCUUCCAUAUCUCUUCUUGCAAUCAAGUAUCUUAGUGAGUUCAUUCAAGCACCAAGUGGAAGAUGCAUAGUUUUGGGAGAAAACGACGAUAUAAAUCUUCGAUUCUUCUAUUGCAGAGAGCAGUGCAGAUGAAAUUUCUUCGCCCCGGGGUAGUGUCUCAUCAAUAUAUGCUUCUAUGUUCUUCCUUUGCAGUGCUGGAUGAAGGUGGCUAAUGAAGUUGUCACGUGUGUCUUCCCCUCUGAAGCUGAGAAACACAUCAUGCUUUGUUAGAGAAGUGGACACGGGGAAUGAUGAAGAACUUCCUGUUUAAUUUCUUCGCCCCUGUUUAAUCUGUAAUCAAUAUAUGCUUCAAUGUUCUUCCUCUGCAGCGCUGCAUAAAGGUGACUAAUGAAGUUGUCACGUGUGUCUUCCCCUCUGAAGCUGAGAAACACAUCAUGCUUGGUUAGAGAAGCAGACAUGGCCAAUGAUGAAGGGUUUCAAUUUUCUCUGCAACUCUCAGAUCCCUUUGUUUGUAAGCAACUUGCAUAUAUUCUAUUUCUAUCACAAAUCAACUUUUGGAAAAGCCUUCAAUUCAAAAUAUGCUUCACAGCUUUAUAUUAACGUGCCUAGCUUUAUACCAUUCUUACGCAUUGGUAAAGAUUCUUCAAUAUCUUUACUCAAUUUGUUUCUUCAAUACCUUUUACACAUUCUUACGCAUUGGUAAAGAUUCUUCAAUAUCUUUACUCAAUUUGUUUCUUCAAUACCUUUUACAUAUAAAGAAUCGGAUUUGUUUAAUAUAUUUUAGAAAAUAACCAGUAAACAGAAAACUAGGUUAAUAUGACUAAAUGAAUAAAGAUAGUACUCAUAAAAAAUAUUUUAGAUUACAAGUGGUAUAACUAAAAUAAAAUAUUUUAUUUUUAAAAUAAAAUUUAUAAAUAAAUAAAAAAAUAUAAUUGUUUAGUUUUCGGUGUAAAACAAUAUUCAUUUUUAUAAAAAAAAAUCUUUUCUCUUUUAUUUUAUUUUUAUAUUUCUAAUUAGAGUAUUCUUGAGUUUGACAAUAGAAUCCUUUCUUUGGACUUUUGGAAUUAAAUAAAGAUGUUAAUUGAAAAAAAAAAUUGAAAUAGAAACUAAUUUAGAAACCAAAUUUCUUUUUAGUUUCUAAAAUGGUCUCUAAUUUAGUUACUAUUGCAACUAAUUGUUUUGGUUUCUAGAAAUUGGUUUCUAUUUCAUGAUUUUCUUGUAGUGUAUACUGAAGGUGUGCACCCCUAUGAAAUGUUUUUAUUUCUAGUUGAUGUGUGAUUUCCAAUAAUUAUAUAAAUUGAUUGUUAUAUGCAGUGUGAAGUUUAACCUUGAUUUUUACUUGAAAAAAUGGAUUUUAAUAUGAGGUAUGCAUGCUCUCAUACUCAAAUUCAAUAAGCGGAAUUUUCACAUGUCAAUAGAAUUUGAACCUGCAUAGUUUUGGGCACUCUCCACCUCAAAUUCGCUCAAUGUUUUUUCCUGCGUUUAAGCGAAAUUACAUGCAGAUUUUGGAGUACUUUCGGGCUUAAAAUUGCUCAAAGAAAUUUCCCUAUGGCAAGCAAAUUUAAGCUACAAUUGUUUGGGUGUUCUUUGCCUCAAAUUCGUUGCCUCAAAUUCGUUCAGCGAAGAUUUCUCUGGGCUUAAGCCCCAACUUCAUGGGCUCGAGCCAUUUUGACAACAUUUGUCAUCUUUGCUUAGAUAUCUUUUGGUUUGUUUUCUAUAGGUCAUGAAAUUGAAUUAAAUCUUUUGAAAUUUAACAUGUGUUUAAAAUAAGUAAAUCUAACAUUUAUAAUCAUGCAACAUGUGUUUAAUUUAUAAAAAAAAUAUAAAACAAAUACUCAUUAUAUAUUCAAUUGAUAUGUAAAAUUUUAAAUAUUAUGUGAUUAUUGUUGAUAUUUUGUAACGGUUUUAAAAAUAUAAACUUCUAUAUGAUUGAAUGAUAUAUUAUCGAUACAUAGUAAUUUCAAGUAAGGAAAUACUUUGUUAAGGAUAGUUAGGAUGUGUCUUGAUUAGUAAUACAUUUAGAAUAAGAUAUUUGACUCUAUUCACAUAUUAAGGUGGUGACAGUCAAAUGAGAUUUAUAUGAUUUGAUCUACAAUAUAAAAAAUCAUAAUCUAACAUGCCAUAUGAAUUAACCUUGUCAUAUUAGGUGAUUCUAUUAUGAUAUUCUUAUUCGCAUAGAUGUGUGAAUUUCACAAUGGGGUAUUAUAACAUGUGCAAAUUUUUUAGUCUAAAUCAAUGUACGAUUCUUUCAGAAAUAGGGUCAAGUGUACAUGUGGAUCUAAUUAGAUUUUUGACAUGAGUAAUAUGGAACACAAGUCAUUUAGAGACACUUAAUUGUUUAAUAUAUUAGGAAUGAAUGAAGUGUGAUUAUUCAUAUGAUUAUGAUUGAAUGAUUCAAAUAUAAAUUUUAAAAAUCAUUAACUUAGCCUAAUUUCUUGUUAGUAUCAUUUUUUUGUUAGUAUCGUUUUUUUUUUAGAUUUGUUAUGAUCGUGAGUUACAUGUGAACAUAUGAUGUUGUAUGUUAUAGGCCUCAAAAUUGAAAAUGAGAGAGUUUUUUCUUUUAAUUCUUUUGAUGUUUUAUUUUGAUGUAUAUAUUUGAUUAUGAUAUAAUAAUAUUACAAUGUAAAUGUUAUUUAUAUACUAUCACAUGGUAAAUUAAAAUUUAAUAAGGUAGUUAAGGAUGUUAUAAUUAUUCUUUUAAUUUAUUUUAUUUCACUGUAUAUUUAGGUGUAUUACGUAAAAUGUAUAGUUAAAAAAAAUAAUGUUAUUUUGAAAUUUAAGCUUUUGUUAAAAUUAUACCAUUUGAAAAGGAACACAGAACAAUCUUGACAAUUAUACUGACUUAGUACUUAUUUUAAUUUAUUAUAUUCAUGAGUAUUAUUUUUUUCUUAAACAUAAAUAUUGGAUAAAAAAUAUAAAUAACAUUUAUUUAUUUCAAAUUUAAAAAUCUUUAAAAUAAAUAUAAAUAAUAUUUUUAAUCAAGAUGUGUUUUUUAACAAUUUUUUUUAAUUUAAAAAUAAUUAAUUCGGACGAUGAUUAAAGAAAUAUUAACAAAUUAUUUCUGCGAUUAUAAUAAACCUUCAAUAAUUUUUGCACUUUCUAGCAUAUAGAAUAUGGAUCCUUUUGUGAUUUUUCUUUUCUAAAGUACAAUUGAUAUUUUAAAUGUUUUUCUAUUUAAUUUUCCUUUCUUAAUGCACAUAAAAAUUUCAGUGCACAAUUAUUACUCACCUUAAUUCAAAAUGGAAAUUAAAAUUCAAGAACCCUACUUAUAUAUUAAUAUUCAACGAUUUAAAAUAUUAGUAUGCAAAUUAAUCUUUCUUAAUAAUAUUUGUAACAAUUUUUAAUAAUUCAAUGUGAAAUAUGUAAUAAUUACUUUUCUAUGAUUCAGAGGGAAAAUUAUUCCAACUAGACUUUUACAAAUAUAUUUCAAGUGGUAAUAUGAUUUUAAACAAAAAUAGUAUUCUCCACAAAAAUAAAUAGUUACUGUUCCUAAUUAAACAAGUCACAUUCUUGAACAAAAUAUCAAAUAACAAGGAAUUAGACUAUGAAAUGAUGACCAAUUAUAUUAAACAACAUAACAUACAUUUCUCAAUGUACACAAGGUAUAAAUAAUACAAUAUCAUCCAAAACCUGUGUUCACUAUGUAAAUAAACCAUUUUUUUUGCCAUUACCUCUUUCAUGAUGAUGAUUUGUUUACUAGGGAUUGCAAUGAUAGGUCAUGAUCAAAACUUAGGCCUAAGACUAAAAAUAGAAUGAAAUGAGCAUGAAAAUAAAGAUAACUUUUGAGUGAGACACAUUCUUCCUUACAAGCAGCAAGUUCUUCCAGGUUAUCUUCUCUUCCUUCAACCGUAGCUGUGCAACCGCCUGUUGUUCAUUGCCACCAAUAUCUCUAGUGCCAAAACUAUGUUUUCCAAAAUUAGAGUUAUAUGGCUUUAUCUGUGAAGUCUUACCAGCCAUAAUGUUUUAUUUUACUGUUUUGUUGUAAUCAUGCCAAUAGAUAAAUCGUGGAUUUGUAAACCACGAAACACCAUUGAGUAUGCAAAUGGGUUGAAUGUGUUUUUGGAUAUUGCAUUUCAACAUGCUAAUGGUCCUGUAAUUAAGUGUCCAUGUGCAAAGUGUGGUUUCAAAAAGUGACAAACAAGGGAUGUAAUCCAAGAACACUUAACAUUUACAACUUUCCCUCAGAACUACAAAACUUGGUAUUUGCACGGUGAAAGACCAAGUGUAAUUGAGCCUAUGGUCACUACAAGUGUGCAUGUCAUUGAAGAUUUAUUUGAAUCUCAAAAUACAAUGGAAGACAUGUUGAAUGAUGCAUUCGAGUUUGCGGGACAUGAUGAGGAUACUGAAGUUGAUGGUUUGCAAACUAAUAUGGUGGGUGAUGAAGGAAUAUGAACUUUGAUGAAUUGAUGAGGGACAAUAAUGAACCCUUAUAUGAAGGUUGUACAAAGCAUUCGAAGUUAUCAUUCAUGUUGAAGUUGUACCAUAUCAAAUGCAUGAGUAGAAUGAGUGACAAAGCAAUGACCAUGAUUCUAGACUUGCUAAUGAACACAUUUGAACAUGCUAAGUUUCCUAACUUGUUUUAUGAGGCGAAGACUGUGAUUACCAAACUUGGACUUAAUUAUGUCAAAAUACCAGCUUGCCCAAAAGACUGAAUGCUAUAUUGGGGCGAAGACAAUGAAGGCUUAGAAGAAUGUAAACGGUUCAAAACGUCUAAGUGCAAAAAAAAAAAAAGAUAAGAAGCAAUUGCAUUACUUUCCAUUAAAACUGUGAUUGCAAAGAUUGUUUAUGAGUUCUAAGAUGAUUGAGUCUAUGACAAGGCAUGCAUCAAAGGAUAAUCAAGAUGGAUUGAUGAGGCAUCCUAGAGAUUCUGAGGCUUGCAAAUCAUUUUAUUGCAUCCAGAAUUUGUAAAUGACCAUUGAAAUGUACGAUUAGACUUAGCUGCUUAUGGCUUUAAUCCUUAUGAAAACAUGAGUAAAAACCAUAGUAUAUGACGAGUGGUUAUCAUCCCAACAAUCACCCUCCUUGGGAGUUAUGAAGCAAACAUCUUUUAUCCUCUACAUGAUAAUUUCUGGAAAACAAAUGGUAGAAAAUGACAUUGAUGUUUAUUUAAAACCACUUAUAAGCAAAUUGAAGGAGUUAAUAGUAUGAUCAUGUAAUUAUUAUUUAUAUACUAAAUAUUACGACAUAUAGUAAUUUAAAAUUUGAUAAGGUAGAUGAGGAUAUUAAAAUAUCUCUUUUAAUUUAUUUUAUUUUAUUGUAUAUUUAGGUGUAUUAUGUAAAAUAUAUAAUUAAAAAAAAUAAUGUUAUUUUAAAAUUUAAAGAAUCACGUAUAGAAAGAAACAUAUAACAAUCUUGACAAUUAUAUUCUGACUUAGAGAUACUUAUCUUAAUUUAUUAUAUUCAUGAGUAUUAUUUUUUUCUUAAACAUAGAUAUUGGAUAAAAAAUAUUAAUAAUAUUUAUUAUUUAAAUUUUAGAAAUAUUUAAAAUUAAAAUUAAAAUUAAAUAAUAUUUUUAAUUAAAAUAUGAAAAAAAUUCCUUAACAAUUUUUUUAAUUUCAAAAUAAUUAAUUCAGAGGAUGAUUGAAAAAAUAUUAACAAAUCAUUUCUGCGUUUAUAAUAAACCUUCAAUAAUAUUUGUACUUUCUAUCAUAUAGAAUACUUAAUGGAUCCUUUUGUGAUUUUUCUUUUCUAAAGUACAGUUGAUAUUUUAAAUGUUUUUCUAUUUAAUUUUCAUUUCUCAAUGACAAAUAAAAUGGUUCAGUGCACAAUUAAUUAUUCUCACCUUAGAUUUCAUUCAUCUCAUUCCAUUUCCACACUCAAAUCAUUCUCACAUUUUUUUCUACCUAUUUCACAAAGUUUUUGUUAAAAUAUGGAAAUUAAAGUUCAAGAACCCUACUUAUAUUUCAUAUUCAACAAUUUAAAAUAUUAAUAUGCAAAUUAAUAUUUCUUAAUAAUGUUAUUUUUAUGUAAAAAUUAAAAUGUAGUUUAGUCAUUCAUACUUAGAUGGAUAAAAAUGGUUUUAGAAAGAAAAAAAUAUGCAUUUUUUUGAAAGGUUAUCUAAACUCUAAACUCAUUGAUGAAUUAAUAAUAAUAAAUAAUAUGGAAUUCUAUACGAAUAGCAUAUAAAUGUUUUCUUGUUGAAACUGAUAAUUAAUUCAGUCUAGGGACAAUUAUCGCGGUAUUUGUUCUUUUAUUUUUAAUGUUUAAACAAUUAUAAAAUUCUGUUUUUAGAUAUUAAAAUGAUAGUUUUCAUUUACAGAUUAAAAUAUUACUUGUUUCUUUUAAGAUUUUUUGUAUUAUAAUUAUUUGUUGUCUGAAUUGUUUUGAUUUAACAUGUUGUUUUCUUGGGCUAUGAUAUUGUGAGGUUUUAUUACAUGCAGGUACGUGAAUAUUUUUUUUAUCCUAGUUGUAUAAAUCAGGAAAAUUGUUUUUCACAUUAUAAUAACCGUUUAACAACUCUAAAUAAUAAUAAAAUAUUAACUCAUAUUGUUUAAUUAAAGUAUAAAUUAAAUUAUUAAAUAAAAAAGUAGUAAAACUGGUUGCAGGAUGGGAAUAUGAUUAUUUUUAACUGCUAGCUCCUGAUUAUUCUUUUCUAAUAAAAAAAACACCAAUAGCAACAAAACAAGUUUUGACACACGUAGGUUUGGCAAUUGUUUUAAUAGCUGAAAAUAGUACAACAAUUUUUAAUUACCACAAACUGCAUCUUAAAUCAUAAAAAAUUAGCAUUUUGUUAGUUCAUAUAUAAUAAAAUUUCCAUAAAACAGCCAAUUGUAUUAAUUAUUAAUAAUGUAUUUACAAUUUUUUUAGAUAAUUUUUUUACUAUAAAGACAUUUAUUUGAGAUUGAAAUUGUAAUUAACACUUUUUGGUCAAAGAAUAAUAUAUUUCACUUGAUUUUUUGUAUUAAAUAUUUUGUAUAGCGCUGAGACAAAAAAAAAUCUCAUAUAAAUCCCUAUGUGCUACAAGUACAAUAUAACAUCCUUAAUGUAAGCAAUAAAAAUGAUGAAUACUCAAAGUCGUGUAAUUACGCAAAAGAAUCAAGUGAUUUUUAAAAGAACUCACAUGAUCAGUUUAAAUUUUGACGAUAAAAUACAUUAAUUAUAUAUAUUUAUUCAAAAUUUCAAUUAUAUUAUGCAUUAAUGGUUUUAUGCUUUUAGAGGAAUCAGAGAAACUUAGAAAAGCUCCUAAAAACUAAUGUAACCCUAUGAAUAGAAGAGAGCUAAAAGAAAGAGAAAAUGGAAGUGAGAAAAGAUGAUAAUUAAUAAACACGCUCUCUUCAUAACAUAGAGUCUUUAAACCUAUAUUCCCUCAAACAAUUAUAAAGAAUUAACAAUCACACUUUUAUAAGUCAUCACCCACAUGAAACAAAACAAGGUGCCUCAAUAUGAAUAAACCAAGAUUAAUAAGAAAUAUGAGGUUUCACUAACCAAGCUCAGAAUUUUCUGCUUUUAUAGCUCCAUGCACAAACCUAAUACAAUGAUAUGAUAUUCACUGCAAAUGCAACCCAAAUAUGCUAAAGAAGUUAAUGAAACCCAAAUAUAAAGAAUUUGAAGAGAAUGCAACUCUGGGACAACAGAGCACACCAUCUCAUGCUGAACAGAAACAUCAAACUAUAUCUAACAAUAACUAUACCUAUGUUUGCUUUGGGUCUGUUUUUAGUUUCAAUGUUACUCUUUAUCUGCAGGUUGGGAACAUAUCUUGAUGAAAUAUAGAAACAUUUUUAUUCAUAAUAUAUAUAAGGAUUACACAUUCAUAAUUAUUUCUUUCUGUCGUAGCAUUGUCUACCUCAAAUCACUGCAACUUUCUGUUGUUGGUAUUUGCAUAUCACGAUGGUUAUUGAGAAAUUUAGGAGUUUGCUGUUGUGUACCAGAAGUAAAAUAGAAGGUUCAUUUUUUGGUCAUCAUCAAUUAUUAAUGUAAAUAGAUAUAGGUGAAGGAGAUCAGUAUUAUGCAUUGUAUCAUGGACCAUUAGAAGACUAGGGUCACCAAUUGGAGGCAUUGGUAACUUUGGCUAGUAAAACUAAAACCAAAGUCCAUUUUUACAAAGCCUUGGUCUAAUUCACCUUAUAGCUGUACUUUUUCCUCCAUUUUAAUAAUAUUAAGUUUUCAUUUUCUAUGCAUAAUCUUGGGUAAUUUUCUUUUUAUAUCAAUGCUUGAAGUGUCAAAUUGUUACAAGCUGGAUUAUUAAGAAAGAAAAGAGUGCAUUCUGGAUGCUCGAAAGGGAGUGUUUCCUAGAAAAAAAAUGUGAUUUCAGGGUGUCCAGGCUCAGGUAGCAAUGGUAGGAGUUCCACAUUGAAAUGGAUGAACUACUUGAUUUAGUACUUUGGGACUCUCUCACCUAAUGGACUAGUAUUUUGGGUUAGCUUCUCUCCCCUUAAUGCUUAAGUCCUAAAAAACAGUUUUUCUGUUUCUAUUUAUCUUUUAGGGUGUGAUUAGGACCAUGAAGCAGUGGGUGUUUUUUCCAUUAAUGAACUUUGCCACUGCCACAGAUCACCUAGGUUAACCUAAUUAAGUCUUCUGAAUUGUAUUUUGUAAUUAAUUCUUGUAAAACAUGGAGUGUAAAAUUCAUGUACAUUUUUCUUUUCCUCUUUUGAUUUGGAUGUCAAACUAGCAACUUCAUGUUUUGUCUGGUUGGUCUAUCACAUUUAUGUAGGUUGUAAUCUAUUUUGCCUAAUGCAUCAGUUGCAGAUAGGUACUAAAUUAUCUUAGUUCGGAUACACCUUGCCAAUUAGAUUAAGAUCAAGAAUUUAAAGUGAAUGGUUCACUUCUGAGUUCUUAAAUGAGAUAAAAUGUUCAGAGAUACUAAAUCAUCGCCUUCAUUUGAAAAUUGGCGUGCCUAUUAUGCUUUUGAGAAAUAUUGAUCAAACCAACGGUCUUUGUAAUGGAACAAGGUUGCAAGUUAUUGAUUUGAAGAAAAUGUUAUUUGUGCAAUAGUUCUAACAGGAACAAAUAUUGGUGAUAAAAUCUUCAUUUCAAGAAUGAAUUUGAUCCCUUUAGAUGUAGGUAUGCCAUUCAAAUUCCAGAGAAGACAAUUUCCAAUAGCUUUAUGUUUUGCAAUGACAAUUAAGAAAAGCCAAGGUCAAUUAUUGACCAAAGUUGGUUUAUAUUUUUCACAUCCAAUUUUCACACAUCGAUAGUUGUAUGUAGCUAUUUAUAGAGUUCGAAAGAAAAAAGAUUUAAAAAUUCUAACUCUUGAUGAAGAUGGAAUGCAACAAACAAGAAAAAGAAAAUGUUUACACUGAAAUUUUUGACAAUAUUUGAAAACAAUAGAAUUAUAUGAUAAACUUGGAAUGGCUAAUUCUCCCUGCAACCAAUAUUUUUGAACCUGCAACUUUUAAAUUUUUGAAAAUGCUCUUUAUUCCAGAAAUGAAAAUAAUACAUUACAAAAAAAAUAGAUCCAAAAAAGAUUAUUGUGUUUUGGUAAUAAAAAUCGGAAAACAAAAAUCAAAAGCCCAUUAUGAAUAAGAAAAUUCGUAAUACAAAAAAUUUGGUCUUAAAAACAAAAUCUGAAAACAUAUUCCAGAAAGAAAAUCCGAAAUGUAUUUUUAUAUAUAACCCAUUUUUUCAAGGGAGUUUCGUCUUUUCUAUUGUAAAAGGGGUUGGAAUUUGCUCCCUUGGAAUUAUAGUUUCUUAUGUGUGAUGUAGUAACAGUUGCCUUAUUUAAAAUGUUACUAAAUAACAUAUAAUUUAUAUCUGUUAUUUUUAUUCUGUUAUGACUUUAUAUAUUUGUCACAACAUGAAUGAGGCACAAACCCAUCUCAUGUUAACGAAGUUGAGAAUUUUCUGAUUUUACAGGUCCAUGCAAAAAUCUAAUAUAAUGAUAUGAUAUUCAAUAUCAAGAGGUACUUGUCGUAAAACGGGGAAUAUGAGAGACUCCAUAGAAUGAAGAAAAAGUAUAAAGAGGAUUUACAAAUUAACCUUUCAAAUGCAGCUCCUCAGAAUUUCAUAAUGCCUUCACUGCAAAUGCAACCCAAAUAUGCUAAAGAAGUUAAUCAAACAAUACAUGAGGAGUUUCAAGAAAAUGCAACUCUGGAACAACAGAGCAACCCAUCUCAUGCUGAACAGAAACAUCAAACUAUAUCUAACUUAGAAAUCUUUGUCAACAAUUGAACGAACCCACUCCUUAAAUACCAUUGAAAAUGUAAAUAAAACAAAAUAAAUUAAAAACGAGAAAUUCAUAAUAAAAAUUAAACGUGUUGAACCCUGUAAUUUAGAAGUAUUAACGAUAAGGCAGUUUAGAUCCUCACCAAUGAAAGAGACUAGCUGACUAGGUAGCUUUCGGCCUUCCUCUUCCUAUCUUCCCUUGUUUCUCUUGAAGACUCUGCAAUAUUGCUUCCAUUGGAUUGUUCAAAGUCAACAGCACCACCAUAUUUAUCAUCUUUCUUUUUCGUAUAAAGAGGGCAUAUGCCGCAUUCCUUUAUUGUGAUACCUGAUUUCAACCGAAAGUGAUAAUCACACGGACUGAUAAGUGAAGCUGCGAGCAUCACAGAUUCUAAGGCUCAUGCCGCUCGCCCUUAGGAACUCCAAGUUAAAUUUCCACACGAAUGUGUGAUCUUGAUCAACACAUCUCUCUUCACCAUUCGAAAUAGCUGUUUAACACAUCUAUCAUCGCUGCAGAAACUUAAAUCUUCAUUUAUAGUCACUGAAUGUCCCUUCCCACGAAAAUGGAACCAACCAGGAACUGCAGUCCCUGGAAAACAGAAGAACACAGACCUAUAUCUAUCGUCGGUCAUCCUAAGCCUUGCAUCCUCCUCAAUGUUAGCACGACCACCUGAAUCCAGUUGCUGAGCAUUGGUGAAAUGAAAUUUGAAUACACCCUCUUUGGAAUUUGAGAGGUUUCGAACAAGAGAAUUUGGCAUCACUCUUCUAAUGGAUGGGCAAUCCAAUGCCACGAGUUGCUUUAGAAAUGGUGGAAUCUGUGGGAUGCAUUCAAGCUUUUUGCAGUCGCUUAAAUCAAGCGAUUUCAAGCUUGAAAGAUGAGCAAUGCUCUCAGGAAGGUUCACGAUUCCGCUAUCACGCAGUGAUAGUUCCAUUAAUAACGUCAAACGACCAAUGUGUCUUGGGAUUUCUGUUAAUUUGGAGCACCCCGAACAAUUUAGAGAGAAGCUUCAGAUUAACAAUGGAGUUUGAAAGUGACUCGAUAUCAGUGUAUUUCUGAAGCUCCAAGGAUCGAAGAUUAACGAAAUUGCAAAAUGAGGAAGGCAACUGCGCAAACUCAGUUGUUGAAGCCCUACCAAACGGCACAAGGAUGAAGGUAGUGCCUGUAUGGCUGUGGCGUCUAAGAUGAGCACCGCUAGAUCUUCCAACGUGUCCUGAAUCUGGGGUAAAUUUUCCAAUUUUGAGCAACCACGGAGAGAAAGUUGCUUUAGGAAUUUCAUAUCAGAAAGGUCAAAUGGAAAGAUUGUAAGGGAAGAACAGUAAGAGAGAUCUAAAUGACAGAGCUUCUUGCAACUAAAGUGUAAGGGCACACCUUUCAUGAAUUUUGUCAACACUUCUAAGUAUAUAGUAUUAUUAGCCACUUCUUCUUCUUCAUUAUAUCUGUCAAAAGUAAUUGAGGAAGUUGGGAAAAUAUGACCACUGUAUGCACGAGGUUCACCACGCCGUCCUGCACCAUGCCGUUCUGAGAAAUUUAUCUCUUUGAUCAUAUCCGGUUUCUGGCGAUGGAAUCUUGAGAAAGUUUGACGUUGACGCUCCACGCUCCAGUAUCACAUGAGGGAAUCUUGAGAAAUUUCCACGUUGAUGCCCCAGUUUCUGAUGUGGGUAUCUUGUGACGCUCCAGUUUCACAUGACGAAAUCUGGGUUCACUGGUUGAAAACAUAUUAAGCUUCCCACAACAGGAAAUAUUAAUCCAUCCUUGUAAUGUGGAUAAAAUGUUGCUGGGAAUAUUUAUACUAUUCAGAUCAUAACAAUUAUCUAAACAUAAAUAACUGAGCUUGCUGAGUAAUAUCGAAGAGUGAACUUUAAUCAACUUUCCACAAUAACUCAGAAUUAUUUCUUCAAUAUUUGGUAAGAGAGAAAAGUCUGGUAUUCUAGUAAGUUUCCGAGAACCACUCAGGUCAAGCCUUUUCAAGUUUGGUAAAUUCUGCCACAAAUAGUAAAUGAAUCAGGUAACAAAUAAAAACCACUGUUAAAAAAAUCACACUCUGAACUAACAAAACUGUGGCUAUUCACUAUCAACAAUCCCUCUCAAAUACACUUCUACUAAUACAUUAACAACAAUAUCAUUAUAUUAACCAUAAAAUAUUACAUUUCUUCAGUUAAUACGUAGGACAAUAUAAUAAUCAGGUCACUCAGCUAAUGAAAAAAAUUAAACAACAUGAACUCAAUUAAAUAAUAUAAAACUUUUGAGUACUAGAUAAAAUAAGAAAAUUAAUAAAAAUUCAAUUUGAAAAUAAUCAAAUUUAUAAGAUACUUAAAACUUAAUUAAACCUACAAAUUUUCAUUAUAUGGAGUUAAAUACUAUAAAUAUUUACCACAUAAGUAGAAUGUUUAAAUAUAUAUUUCUUCACGUUGGAAGUUUUUUUCCUCUAUCUUAUAAGUUUUCUUUGUUUCUUUAAUAUUUUUUAAGCCAAUGUGAUUUUUUUAAUAUAAAAUAUUAUUAAAGAUAAAAUAUGAAGAUAGGGUAAUUAAAUAUAAUUUUUUAUUUUUUAGAAAUGAUGAAAAUUAUAAUUAAAUUAACUAAAUUAUAUAAAAUUCUAUUUCAUUUACAUAACUACUUUUCAUAUUAAAAAAACUAUAUAAGAUCUUGAAACUAUAAUUAAUAUUUCUACUCAUUUUUCGUUUUUGUUGGUGAAAUCUUGAUUUUGGGAUAGUAUUAGUGAGAUAUUGUUUGGAGUUAAAAACAAGAAAUUCUUUUGCAUAAUCAAUUUGAACAGUUUUGAUUUUGAAACCAGAUUUUCAGAGAAGAGUUUAAAGCGUUCAAAUGCAGCAAGAGCUUGAGAUUUAGCAUGCUAGAGAUAAAUUCAUGUAUAUUUUAAAUAUGCAUUAGGAAAAGAGAUAUCGUAUGAUGCAACAUUAUUAGCACAAACAACAAACAGCAGAACGUCCCCAAAUAUCAAUAUAGAUAAAUUCUAAAAGGUGAUUAUCCACACUGUUUUAGAACAACUUUGAUUACAGAAAAACUAUAACGCCCAAGUCUAUUAUGCCACAAGUGAAAAGAAGUUUUUUCAUAUUUAAAAGAUGUGUAGUUAGCAGAAAAAACAGAGGAUCAGAGAUCAAGAAAGACAGAGAGAUCAUCUUUAAGUGUGCCUUGUAGAAGAAUCUGUUUAGUUACUUAGUCUUUAACAUAGCAAGAAUGAGGGUGAAAUUCAAAAAACACAUUGUUGUUACGAGCAAACUUUGAAACACUAAGCAAAUUCUUAGUAUAAUGAGAAACAUGUAAAAGAUCAAGGAGAGAGAAGGAAGUACAAGAGGUAGACGACACACAGGAAGCAGAACCAAUGUGGGAGAUUUUUAUACCUGCACCAUUACCAAGUUUAACGUUCGCAAUGCCAUGAUAGAUUUGUUGAUCAUUGAACAGAGUAUGGUCGUUUGUUAUAUGGUGAGAGACACCGCUAUCUGGGUACCAUAAUGGAUCUUCUAAAGAUGAUGGUGGACCAAGAAGAGAGUAAGAAGAGUCAUCACGUGGAGGUGGAGAGAAAUGAGAUGUGUUUGCAGAGGAGGAUGGUGGUGUAGUACGAUCAAACCAGUGCCAACAAUGAAGAGCAGUGUGUCCAAGUUUGGAGCAUAUUUGACAGCGAACAGGGUUGCGUUUCCAUGAUGAAGACGUAGUGGAGUUCCAAGAAGAGUAUUGGGAAGGUCGGGGUUUGCCGCGGUUGAACUGAUUCUAGUUAGAUGUGGGAUUGUAACCACGACCACCACAGGAGGAGUUGGAAAAGGGGAGGUGGAGAGAAAUGAGAUGUGUUUGCAGAGGAGGAUGGUGGUGUAGUACGAUCAAACCAGUGCCAACAACAAUGAAGAGCAGUGUGUCCAAGUUUGGAGCAUAUUUGAGAGCGAACAGGGUUGCGUUUCCAUGAUUACGACAGUAAUAAAUGUAUUAUAUUCUUCAGAUAGCCUUCAAGGAUGAUGUCAAUAUGAUCAGUGGAAACAGGGGCAUCAAUAGCGGCAAGCAUGUUGACGGCGUUCUUGAUAUCAUGGAGAUAGGAGGAGAUGGAUCUGUGAUGACCUGAUUUUGUUGUUGGUACCAUUAGAGACUUGGGGACUGUCAUCAGUGGUGGAAGAAGUGGUUCUUGAUGGAACACUAGUGUCGUCAAGAAAAUGACCCAGUUUGAGCCCGCAAAUGGAGGCAAGGACUUGAUGUUUCCAGAGAAGAUAGUUAUCUUCAUCUAGUUUAAGAGUGAUGGGUGUUGUGAACUGUUGAACGGAAGGCAUGACCAGAGGUAACGGGCAAGAAGAAGAUGCAAAAGAAGAUGAAGAGAUAUGAGUGCAGUGCAUUAGAAUAGAGAGAGAAAGGAGAAAGAUAUUAUCUUAGUAUAUGUGCUAAAGGUAUAUAAGGAGUGCAGAACUGGAAACACUUACAAAGUUGUCGUUACACAGUUAUAGUAUGGUUAACAAUGUAUAAUACAGAAAACAUGCUUGUGUACUUUAUUUUUAUCUUUGAAAGUUUAGAACACAGAGGAACAUAGAUAGCUAGAAAAACCUGAUCUCCUUCCCAGAGUUGUUCAAGAUGGCAGCCUGGCAUUUCCAGGGUCACAGUCUGGCAUUUCCAGGGUCACUAGAUUUUGUGGGCAAAAGUUUGGAGGCCAGAAUCUUUGAGGGAAACCGUUCCAAUAAAGAAACUUUAGAGUGUCUGGCAGACCUACAAGAGAUGAUUCAAGAGACACAUUUGAUAUGAAUAUAGGCAUGUAGACCAUAAGCAUCAUAAGAUUGUCCAUCUUUUCGAAACUUUGUGCAUGUACUACAGCAUCUUUUACUUUGUUCGUAUGUAGUAAUAUACACUGUAUUGCAUCUGACCCCUGAAAGUAAAUCAAUUUAAUUAGGAGAAAAAAAACAUGAAAUGUUGCAUUGCAGGAUGUUUAAUGACAUCUCAGUGGUUUGCAAUUUUUUACAAAGUAAAUCCAUUCUCAAUUGAGUAACGACAUAAUACCUUGUUCUUUCUUAAAACCUCUCAAAUUUCCUCAGCAUUAAACAAUCGGCUGCGUUUUCCAGGAUGCUGAGGACACUCUUUACGAACAAUUUCUUGACUCAUUUCUNNNNNNNNNNNNNNNNNNNNNNNNNNNNNNNNNNNNNNNNNNNNNNNNNNNNNNNNNNNNNNNNNNNNNNNNNNNNNNNNNNNNNNNNNNNNNNNNNNNNGAUCCAUCUUUUUCUGCUGCUACCAUGUCGAACUCCCUUCAAAUCAAUACAAUGUCUUCACCAUCAAUCAGCCAAGUGAUUAAUGUUAAACUCACACAAGAAAAUUAUUUAUUGUGGUCUGCUCAAAUCCUUCCCUAUUUACGUAGUCAGGGGCUGGUUGGGUUUGUGGAUGGAUCCAUGCCACCACCAAACCAAACGAUUACGGUUGAGUCAAGUGAAGAAACAGGGAGCCGCAAAAUCCUGAAUUCACAGUCUGGUACCCCCAGGACCAGCUGGUACUCAGUCUCAUCAACUCAUCGGUUACCGAGGAAGUUCUCAGCACGGUGGUCGGAAUCACCACUGCACGAGAAGCCUGGGAUAUGCUGGAGCGGCAAUUUGCCUCCACAUCUCGAGCACGAGCAAUGCAGAAUCAUAUGGAACUCUCCACGAUCCAAAAGAAGGACAUGACAAUUGCUGACUAUUUUCGUAAAGUAAAACGUCUCGGAGACACUCUGGCUGCCAUUGGCAAGCGAGUAGAGGAUGAAGAACUCAUCGCCUACAUGCUGCAAGGACUUGGUCUAGAUUAUGAUCCUCUUGUCACAAGCAUUACAACUAGAACAGAUGUUUACACUGUCAGCGAUGUGUAUGCUCAUAUGCUGAGCUACGAGAUGCGUCAUCUGCGUAAUGGUACUCUUGAGCAAUUUCCUUUUGCUAACAAUGUCAACAGCAUGUCUAAUCGAGGAGGAACUAAUGGACGUCGUGGUGGUCGUGGUCGUCAAUCAAAUGGUGGUCGAGGACAAACAUGGCACACUAGAAACAAUUCUGGACGUCAGCCAUCAAAGGCACAAAGUAACUCAGACAAAGUCUGUCAGAUUUGUGGUAAGCCAAACCAUGAUGCUUUGCAAUGUUGGCACAGAUUUGAUCAGGCAUAUUAAGCCGAAGACAAUCUUAAACAAGCAGUUGUGGCCACAAGUGGAUAUACUGGUGAUGCAAACUGGUACGUAGAUACUGGAGCCACAGAUCACAUCACCAACGAGUUAGAAAGACUUACCACCAACGAACAUUACAAUGGCACUGAUCAGAUUCAAGUUGCAAAUGGCUCAGGUUUUUCUAUCUCUCAUAUUGGGAACUCAUUAAUUUCUGGUUCAUCUAGAUCUCUUGUACUGAAACAUAUCCUAUAUGCUCCUAAAAUCAAUAAACAUCUGAUUUCAGUACAAAGACUAGCAUCUGAUAAUAAUGCCUUUGUGGAAUUUCACCCACACUGUUUUUUUGUUAAGGACCGAGCCACGAAGGAACUUCUGCUCACAAGUAGAUGUAAGAAUGGCCUCUACACUUUACCAAAUAACUCCAGCAAAGCAUUCCCGACAGCCAAACUUUCGAAAGAACAAUGGCAUAGAAGACUUGGGCAUCCUGCUUUCCCAGUCACAAUUAGAAUCUUGAAAAAUAAUAACUUAGCUCUAGAUACUAGAGUUUCUUCUUCCUUAAUUUGCCAUGCUUGUCAACUAGAAAAGCACAUCAAUUACCCUUUGUUUCUUCUCAACAUGUAUCUACAGCACCUCUUCAAUUGAUUCAUACUGAUGUAUGGGGUCCAGCCAUUGUCUUAGUGAAUAAUUCUAAAUAUUAUGUUUCAUUUGUUGAUGAUUUUAGCAGAUAUGUUUGGAUUUAUUUUUUGAAAUACAAGUCUGAUGUUGAGUCUGUGUUUCAUCAGUUUCAAAAACAUGUUGAAACCAUGCUAAACACCAAAAUUCGCUCUGUCCAGUCAGAUUGGGGGGGUGAAUACCAUCGUUUGCACCAAUAUUUCAAAACAACUGGAAUUGAGCAUCGUCUUUCUUGUCCUCACACACAUCAGCAAAAUGGGUUGGUAGAAAGAAAGCACAGACACAUUGUGGAAACUGGCCUUACUUUACUUGCCCAAGCUAACAUGCCUUUGUCCUAUUAGGAUGAAGCCUUCAAUACAGCUUGUUACCUUAUAAAUAGACUACCAUCUCGAAUCAUACAAGCAAGACACACCACUUCAUAAAUUAUUUGCAAAAAAUCCAGAUUACACCAUGCUUAAGGUGUUUGGCUGUGCUUGCUGGCCCAAUUUAAGGCCUUACAACACCAAGAAACUGAGUUUUCGAACCACUAAGUGUGUCUUCUUAGGCUAUAGUUCUUCUCAUAAGGGAUACAAGUGCUUAGAUAGAAGUACAAAACGAAUUUACAUCUCUAGAGAUGUAAUCUUUGAUGAAAAUGUGUUUCCUUUUGAAGAAUUAAAUUCUAAGUCAUCAAUCCAAACCAAAAAUUCACACCAGCCUGCUCUACUUCCAACCUUCGUUAAACCCGUUCCAUACACUGAAAAUGCUCUCACAAAUAUUGAACCAGUUGUUAAUGAUUCUCGUAUAAUUGAUGGUCAAUCUAAUGAUGUUGCUAAUAACAACUUGUCUGGUAUAAGCUUACAUCCUGCAGAUAAUACAAUAAGUCCAGAAAUUGUUGCAGAACAGGAAGCUGAGAACAGUCUGACCAAUUUCCAAGAACAGAUGUUCNNNNNNNNNNNNNNNNNNNNNNNNNNNNNNNNNNNNNNNNNNNNNNNNNNNNNNNNNNNNNNNNNNNNNNNNNNNNNNNNNNNNNNNNNNNNNNNNNNNNGAACAAGAUUGAAAAAUAACAUUGUCCAAGCAAAACAGUUCACUGAUGGUACUGUCAGAUAUUCAGAGACCUCAAGAAAGUUUACCGGUGCUGUCACUGUCAAAAAUCCGACCACAAUAAAUGUACUAAAAAAUGCUACUGAGACUGAUACAGUUACUGAACCUCAAAACCUGCAGGAAGCUCUACAAAGUCCAGGUUGGCAGGAAGCAAUGAAUAAUGAGCUCUCAGCAUUACAACACAAUGAGACUUGGGAUUUCGUUCCACCAAAACCUGGCAUAAAUCUCAUUGAUAGUCGAUGGGUGUAUAAAGUGAAAAGGAAAGCGGAUGAAUCAGUGGAGAGAUUGAAAGCAAGGUUGGUUGCUAAAGGGUUCAAGCAAAGAUUUGGCAUUGAUUACAUUGAUACCUUUAGCCCCGUGGUCAAGCCAUCAACAAUCAAAGUUAUUCUUUCACUAGCAGUAACCAAAGGCUGGAAUAUGAGACAAGUUGAUAUCCAAAAUGCAUUCUUGCAUGGAAUUUUGGAAGAGGAAGUGUACAUGCGACAACCAUCGGGAUUUCAAGACCCAUAUAAACCAAAGGAAUACAUAUGCAAACUCAAGAAAGCGCUUUAUGGCCUGAAACAGGCUCCAAAGGCUUGGCACUCAAGACUGACUGGAAAACUUAUGGAAUUAGGCUUUAGAGCUUCUGUAGCUGAUUCAUCUUUGUUUAUCCUCAAAAACAAAGAGGUAACCAUCUAUAUGCUCAUAUACGUUGAUGAUAUAAUUAUCGUGAGCUCCUCUGAUCAAGCCACCGAAAGGUUGAUUCAGAAGUUGAAAAUAGAUUUUGCUAUAAAAGACUUAGGUGGUCUUGAGUAUUUUCUGGGUAUUGAAGUCAAGAAGGCAAGAGAUGGCAUCACANNNNNNNNNNNNNNNNNNNNNNNNNNNNNNNNNNNNNNNNNNNNNNNNNNNNNNNNNNNNNNNNNNNNNNNNNNNNNNNNNNNNNNNNNNNNNNNNNNNNAAAUUAUUCAAAGAGCAGGGAACACUCUUGUCAAUUGAAGAACAAUUUAAAUACAGAAGUACUGUGGGAGCAUUGCAAUACUUGACAAUGACCAGGCCUGAUUUGGCAUUUGCUGUCAACAAGGUUUGCCAAUACCUUCAUACGCCUACUGAUGCUCAUUGGAGUGUUGUAAAGAGAAUCCUUCGUUAUGUCAAGGGCACAUUAGAUUUGGGAAUCAGAAUUCAGAAGUCUCCAACAAUGCUGCUGUCCGGAUUUUCUGAUGCUGAUUGGGCUGGUUGUCCUGAUGAUCGACGUUCAACUAGCGGCUUUGCUGUAUUUCUUGGAGCAAAUCUAAUUUCUUGGAGCUCUAGAAAACAAACCACAGUGUCCAGAUCGAGCACCGAAGCAGAAUACAAGGCCAUUGCGAAUCUGACAGCAGAAAUGAUUUGGAUAAAAUCAUUAUUGAAAGAGCUUGGUGUGUAUCAAUCAAAAGCUCCUCGACUCUGGUGUGACAAUCUAGGAGCUACAUACUUAACUUCAAAUCCAGUGUUUCAUGCAAGAACAAAACAUAUUGAAGUUGACUUCCAUUUUGUUCGAGAACAAGUGGCACGCAAAGCAAUGGAAGUUCAGUUUAUUUCAUCAAGUGAUCAAGUGGCUGAUAUCCUAACAAAACCACUGUCUAGAACUCUCUUUAUUACACAUUGUAACAAUCUCAACAUGUAUAAAACCUGUUGGGAUUGAAGGGGACUGUUAGAAUUAGUCAGUUAGAAGUGGAACACGUUUGUAGAAGUGGAACACGUUAGUUGGUUAGUUGCCUUAAGAAGCGGAUCAUGGAUCCAACCGUGUAUGCAAUCAGUUACCUUUCUUUAAUUAUAAAUACAAUACGUCCUCCACAUAGAGAGGUACAGUUAGCAAACUUUAUUAGAGCUGAAUCGGUAACAUCAUCAAGAAUGAGGAGAACCUUUGUCCGUUUGAGCCUUUCAUUGUAAUAUGGUGAAGAAGAGGAUUUCUCUUCCUUUAGAAGCUCAGACUGAUAUUUUGUUCUGAUACUGUCUAUUCCAUCUCUUUGUAUUUUUUCUUGAACGUCUAAAACAAGGCUGCUGGAAUCAAACUGCAAUGCCAAUUUGUGAUAUAUUUGAUUACAAAUUGUAGUUUUUCCUAUUCCUCCCAUGCCACAAAUUCCUAUGAUCCGAACAUCCGGUGACUCAAGAUGCAACAAGGACUGAAUUCCUUCAAUAUGUUUUUCAAUGCCGAUGAUUCCUUGAUCAUAACUGAUGGAAUAACGAUUCAAUUUUUUCAACAAGUGUGUGUUCUGUGCUGGCAGAUGAUUUAGAAAAUAAUGUAUAAGUAUUCAAGCACAAAAGCUAAACUAAAGAAAAAUUCUACAGCAUCCGUUUGUGACUUCUGAUACUAGGGAGAAGACUUGUAGGUACAAAGUUAAGCUAUAACAUGUAAUAUGGUUCAGAUCUAAGACCGACUAAUAGAAAUGAAAAAAGAAGCACUUGAUUUAGGGUGAGAUGAACACAAUUUUAGUAAAUGAAAAGAGAUCCUGAUUAUCUGGAAAGUGCGUGACCUGGUGACUUUUGAAUCCCAGCCUGCAAGUUCAGCAGCUUCGGUGAGAGCAUCCUUCCAUCCUUGCACUUUAUCGUGCUUAAAGUGCUGCUCAUGCUUUUCGAAUGCUUCUUUGUAUCUUUGUUCCUGCUUCCUAAUAGUUGAUGGAUCCACCUUGUAGAAAACAGGUAUGACAUCCCUUCCAAAUCUCUUCUUGCAUUCAAGUAUCUUAGUGAGUUCAUUCAAGCACCAAGUGGAAGAUGCAUAGUCUUGGGAGAAAACGAUGACAUAAAUCUUUGAAAAAUAAGUAUGAAAUCUAGAUAUAUAUCAUUAUCACGUGUGGAAGCUACGUCGUCUUGUAUUGGAUUUUCUAAUCUGCCUUUUAUCUUGUCUCAUUCUUCUUUAUCUUUUUUCUCUCAUCUCUCUUGCUUACGAUUUCUUUGCCUUUAUUCAGAAAUUUUAGUUAUAAUAAACCUUCAAUAAUAUUUGUACUUUCUAGCAUAUAGAAUACUUAAUGGAUCCUUUUCUGAUUUUUCUUUUCUAAAGUUCAAUUGAUUUUUUAAAUGUUUUUCUAUUUAAUUUUCCUUUCUUAAUGACACAUAAAAUGGUUCAGUGCACAAUUAAUUAUUCUCACCUUAGAUUUCAUUCAUCUCAUUCCAUUUCCACACUCAAAUCAUUCUCACAUUUGUUUCUACCUGUUUCACAAAGUUUUAGUUAAAAUAUGGAAAUUAAUGUUCAAGAACCCUACUUAAUAUUAAUAUUCAACAAUUUAAAAUAUUAAAAUGCAAAUUAAUCUUUCUUAAUAAUGUCAUUUUUAUGUAAAAAAUAAAAUGUAGUUUAGUCAUUUAUACUUAGAUGGAUAAAGAUGAUUUUAGAAAAAAAAAAUGCAUUUUAUUUCAAAGGUUAACUAAACUCUGAACUCAUUUAUGAAUUAAUAAUAAUAAAUAAUAUGUAAUUGUAUUCCAAUACCAUAUAAAUUUUUUUUAUUGGGUGCGUUUCUGAUGAAUUAAUGCACUCUAGGGACAAUGAUCGCUCUAGUAUUUGAUUUUUUAUUUAUUUUAAUGUUAAAAUUAUAGCUAUGUAGUACAGAUAUUACUGACACAGACAGACACGAACACGGACACAGAAAUACAUAAAAUCUCUAAAAUGUAGAAUACGGAGACAUUAAUCUAUAUAUUAUAUAAUUAUGAAUCAUAUAAAUUAACAAUAAAGAUUUAUGUGCACAAGUAUUUUUGAGAUUAUUUUUUAGAACAGAAAUAUGUUUUUCAUGACUAGUUCACAAAUAUUUGUUUCUUAUUCUUAUAAUCAUAAUAACAAUUUAUACCAUAAAGUUUCAAUUUUAGAAAAUUAAUGUAUUUUUUCUUUUUAAAAUUUCGUUAGAACUGUACUAGAAUUGUAAAAAAUCUAACAAAUACAUUUUGAAUUGGACAUUCCACGAAUACGUGUCCUACCAGUAUUUUGAACAACAUUCUUUCUUUUGGAACAAAGAGGGCAUAUGCCGCAGUCUUUUACUGUGAUAACUCAUUUCAACUCUCACACAACUGAUUCGUAAUCUGUGGGAUGCAUUAAAGCCUUUUGCAGUUAAAUCAAUAGUAUAUGAUGAUGUGAAUGUUAUUUAUAUACUAAAUAUAAUCACAUAGUAACUUCAAAUUUGAUAAGGUACAACAUGUUACCAUAUCUCUUUUAAUUUAUUUUAUUUCAUUAUAUAUUUAGGUGUAUUUAAUUUCUUUUAUUUCAUUGUGUAUUUAGGUGUAUUACGUAAAAUAUAUAAUUAAAAAGAAAGAAGAAUAAUGUUAUUUUGAAAUUUAAAGAAGACAUAUAGAAAUAAACAAGCUUUUGCUAAGAUUCCACCAUUGAAAAGGAACAUAGAACAAUCUUGACAAUUAUACUUUGACUUAUUUUAAUUUCUUAUAUUUAUGAGUAUUAUUUUUUCUUAAACAUAGAUAUUGGAUAAAAAAUACAAAUAACAUUUCUUUAUUUCAAAUUUAAAAAUAUUUUAAAUUAAAAUAAAAUAAUUUUUUAAUUAAGAUAUAACAAAAUAUUCUUUAACAAAUUAUUUUAAUUUCAAAAUAAUUAAUUCAGAGGACGAUUGAAAAAAUAUUAAAUAUUAUAAUAAAGCUUCAAUAAUAUUUGUACUUUCUAGCAUAUAGAAUACUUAAUGGAUCCUUUUAUGAAUUUUCUUUUCUAAAGUACAAUUGAUUUUUUAAAUGUUUUUCUAUUUAAUUUUUCUUUCUUGACACAAAAUGUUCAGUGCACAAUUAAUUACUCACCUUAGAUUUCGUUCUUCUCUUUCCAUUUCCACACUCAAAUCAUUUUCACCUUUUUUUUCUUCUUAUUUCACAAAACUUUAAUUAAAAUAUGGAAAAUAAAGUUCAAGAACCCUGCUUAUAUAUUAAUAUUCAAAAAUUUAAAAUAUUAAUAUGCAAAUGAAUAUUUCUUAAUAAUUUUAUUUUGAUGUAAAAAAUAAAAUGUAGUUUAGUCAUUCAUACUUAGAUGGAUAAAGAUGGUUUUAGAAAAAAAAAAAGAAUAUGCAUUUUAUUUGAAAGGUUAUCUAAACUCUGAACUCACUGAUGAAUUAAUAAUAAUAAAUAAUAUGGAAUUCUAUUCCAAUACCAUAUAGGAUGGAGAAAAGUAAGAAGAGGAUUUACACAUUACCCUUUCAAAUGGAGCUCCUCAGGAUUUCAUAAUGCCUUCACUGCAAAUGCAACCCAAAUAUGCUAAAAAAGUUAAUGAAACUAUAUAUGAAGAGUUAAUGAAACUAAAUGGCGUGUGCUGAAAUUUUUGAUCCGAUAACCAUGCCCACAUUCAAAAAGUGAAAGGUUACUUUGCUUUAUAUUCCUUUGGGUGGUGCUACUUUUCAACUUGACAACAAAUUCCCAUUAUUGUGUGGUUAUCAAUUACCAUUUAACUUAUUCUCAUACCACAUUCACUAUAUAAUAGUCCAUCAUAAACCCCAAAAUUUGCACAUUUUCUAUUUGCAAGACAUCCAACAGACAAAGAAAACAUGUGAAACUGUGUAAUAAUGUGAGAACGUAAGAACUUACUUCAUCAUGAAAUCAAGCCAUGCCUGAGGGUUUUUUCUGAGAGCAUUCACCACAGGUGCAUAUUCAUGUGGCUGUAUCCCAUACUCAGCUAGUAUUUCUGCUACCUCUGCCGCUUCUUUUUUUGUCAAAAAACACAUAUUCAUUAUUAAUGUGCAAUCAAAUGGUAACGAAACUAUGUAGUACAAACACACACUGAUACGACACUAGGACGAACAUACGUAUAAUGUUACUCCUUCUAUGGAAAUGAAGGAUAUUCAGCAAUAACUUUUAAAACUCAUUACAUAGAAAUUUGCAUCAAGUUAUCAAAGUCUAUAGGAAUGAAUUUUCAAUUCAUGGAAACACAGAUAACAAAAAGUAAUAGAAAAAUAGAAAAAAAGUUGUCAAAUGAUUCUAUAAAAAAUUAACCUAUCAUGAAAAUCAAGAUGAUAGAAAAUAAAAUAAUGUGGCAUGAACAUCAAAAUCGUAUAAAAGCAUAAUAGAAGAACAGUGGAUACCAGUUUCUGGCACGGCGAUGAUUUCUUCUUGCUCUCUUUUCAAUUCCCUCGAGUAAUUAUCGGCUUCACUUUUUGCUGCCAAAUAACUGCACAAUGAAAAUUAACAUGAAAUAAUAACGGAAUUUAAAUUGAGUUUUGUGAGUGUGAAGAGUGUGGUUGAACGUACCCGCCGAGGCCCAUGGAGAUGGCGCCGGCGGCGACUUCCGCUAUGCCAGCGGUGAGAACGAUGGAGGAGGUGACAUUGGCGCCGGAGAGGCCGGCGGCGAGGGCGAAGGGGACGGUGAGGCCGUCGGAAACGCCGAUGAUGAUGUCGCGGACUAUUUCGCCGGCGGUGAAGUGCUUCUCGGUGUGGUGGUUGAGAAGGUUCGUUCUCUCAGAAUCCACGCUUAUGCCGUGUUCGGUGGCGGCCAUUGGUGCAAGCUUGUGAAUGUGUUUGAGUUCGCCAACGUGCUCUGGGAAUCCAAACAAAGCCUUGCUGCUUUGCACAUAAAUUGAGCCUCUUUUGUGCUCAACUUACUCCUAAAUAGAACAAAAAUAUCUAACCGUUGAUGAUAUCCACGUGGAAAAUUAUCAAUGGAUAUCAAUAUCACAUUAUUUCUACACUAAUAUUUUAAUUAUUUUUAAAUAUUAUAACUAAAUCAAUCAAUAUAAUACCAAAUCUUCUUAAUUCUUUGGAUUAUAUAUAUUUUAUUUUAUUUUAUUUAUAAAGGAAGUUGUGAUAAAUGUUGUGUUUUGUGUGCACAUUAAUAAAAAUCAAAUAACCAAAAAAUAAUAAUCUUGUGAAAGAAAAAAUGGUAGAAUUUAUACUAUUCUACAAAAUUUUAAAAGUGGCUAAUGUGUUUUACUCAACUAUGUAAAUAAUUUUGGACUCUCUUGUUAAGGAAAUAAUGAAAUACAUUAAAUUUUGUUUUAUACUCUUACUUUAAGUUUUUUUGUGUUUCUCCUGACUUAAUUAAAUAUCAGAGAGUCGUCUUUUGCAGGUAGAUUUCAUUCUAUCAUAAUAUACCAACUGAAAACUUGUUUUCUGAAAAACACACGGCUCUCACCGAAUUGCACUUUCCAAUUUUUUUUAAUAGAAAUAAUAAUAAUUAAGUAUUUGUGUUCUUAUAUUUAAUUUUUAAUAAAAAAAUUAUUCUUAUGUACUUCUAAAUUGAUAUAUUUUACCAAUGUCUAUUAACAAUGGGAAGAAGUUUAUACCUAACAAAACUAUUUAACAUGAUUUGUUUGUAAAUUAUAGAAGUAUGUGUAGAAAGAUAUAAAAUUAAUGUUUUAAGAGAAAUUUAAGCAACUUUCAUAAUAUAUUGUAGAUUAUUAGUUGAAUUUAUGGAAAUUAAAAAUAAAUUGUAGGUCACCACACUUCCACUUUUUUUUAAUGAUAUCAAAUCACAACUUUACAAUUUUCACUAAUUUUUAACCAAUAACAAAAGAACAUCUUAGAAGAAGUGUGUUUAAGAAUUUGAUGUUAACUCUCAUUGUUUUUUAAACUUAAAUCCAGCUUUAUUCUUCAACUUUUAAUUUUUAUACAUAUUUAAUUGUAUAUAUAGUUUUUAACUCUCUAAAAUCAAACAAUUUUAAUUCAUUAAAUAGGCAAUGUCAUGAGUGUUAAACUUUUAACAUUUUUCUAGUAAUUAAAUUACUUAUGAAGAUUCAACUAAUUCAAAAUUUAAUAUUUUUACAAUUUUUAUUAUAAUAUUCUUAAAAUAUAUUUUAAUAUUUUGUUUUUCAUGUUUGAAAUAUAAAUGUUUUAAAAAAUCAUUUUAAAUUAUUUUGUUUCUCAUCUUAUGUAAUAAAUUACUAUAAUAAUUACUAAAACAUUUAAUACCUAUACAUUUUUAAUGAGCAAAAACUAAUAAUGAAUUAUAACAAAUAAAAAACGUUUCUGGGCAACAAAAUAGUAAUUAAUAUGAAUUAUAACAAAUAAUGAACGUUUUGUGGUAAUUUGUUUCACUUUCAAAUAAGUUAGUACUUCGCCUGUUAUUUCAUAACGGUAGUUUUUUUAAAUAUAUUAAGAAAAAUGUUUAUUUUUUUAUUUUUAAUGCACUUUUAAGUAACUUGCCUAUUAUAUUAUAUUAUAUGGGUAUUAUAUAUAUAUAGGUAAGCACCAAAAAAUAAAUUUAAGGUAAAAGUGAUAUAAUUAAAAUAAAAUAAAUUAUUAUUAAAUAGAAAAUAUAUAUAAUUAAAAAAAUCAGUUAUUUAAGUUUUAUUUUAAAAUAAUUUUUGUAAAAAAAUUUUCUUUUUUUCCUUGUUCACGAUUUUAAAUUUUAUAUUCACUUGGUAGACAUGUUUUGCAUGUGGUGUUUGGGACUUAAAAGAAUAAUAUAUGUUAGUUCAAGAUCCUAAUGAUGUGUUUUUAAGAAGUUGGACUAUCUUUGUUUUUUUAAGAAGUUGAAGUCUUUUUAUGAAUACUUAUCUUUUUAAACAGGUAAGAUAAACUAGUUUUAUCUGUAAAACUUAAGUUAGAAUAUCUGAAUAUGAAAUGUGAUUCUUCAUAUGAUUAUGAUUGAAUGAUUCAAAAUUCAAGUAUAAAGUUUUAAGAAUCAUUAACUUAUGUUUUUUUUUUUGUGCUAUUUUUUUGAUUUUUUGCAAUGAUUGUGUGUUGCAUGUGAGCAAAUGAUGUUACAAGUUGUAAACCUAAAAAAAAAUCAUGAAAUUUUGUCUUUUUUAUUCUUUUGAUAUUUUAUCUUAAUGAUAUAUAUAUAUAUAUAUAUAUAUAUAUAUAUAUUUAAAAAUCUCUAUAUGAAAGGAUAGUAUUUUAUGAUAUAAUAAUAUGAUAAUGUAAAUGUUAUUUAUAUAAUAAAUAUCAUGAGAUAAUUUAAAUUUUGAUAAGAUAAAUGAAGAUGUUACAAUAUCUCUUUUAAUUUUUUUUUAUUUCAUUAUAUAUUUAGGCGUAUUUAAUUUCUUUUAUUUCAUUGUAUAUUUAGGUGUAUUACGUAAAAUAUAUAAUUAAAAAGAAAAAAUAAUGUUAUUUUGAAAUUUAAAGAAUGACGUAUAGAAAGAAACAAGCUUUUGUUAAAAUUCCACCAUUGAAAAGGAACAUAGAACAACACUCUUGACAAUUAUACUUUGACUUAGAUACUUAUUUUAAUUUAUUAUAUUCAUGAGUAUUAUUUUUUCUUAAACAUAGAUAUUGGAUAAAAAUUAAUAAAAUUUAUUUAUUUCAAAUUUAAAAAUAUUUAAAAUUAAAAUAAAAUAAUAUUUUUAAUUAAGAUAUAAAAAAAUAUUCUUUACAAAUUUUUUUAAUUUCAAAAUAAUUAAUUCAGAGGAUGAUUGAAAAAAUAUUAACAAUCUAUUUAUGCGUUUAUAGUAAACCUUCAAUAAUAUUUGUACUUUCUAGCAUAUAGAAUACUUACUGGAUUUCUUACUCUUUCUUUCUACACCUCUAUCCAUACUAAAUAUAAAAAUACCAUUUUAUUCUUUUUUCUCCACCCCUUGAAUUUGAAAUAAUAAGCCCAUGGAUUAUGUAAUCUGGAUAUAUUCCGGAUUAGUCAAUUUCAUAUUUAGAAAAGACUUUCGGAUUAUGUAAUCCAGAAGCUAAUAAAACAUCUGAAAAAAAGGCUUCCGGAUUACAUAAUCCGGAAGCUAAUCUUAUGUAUAGAAAAGACUUUCGCAUUAUGUAUUCCGGAAGCUAAUCACAAAAGACUUCUGGAUUACAUAAUCCAAACGCUAAUUCUAAAUCUAGAAAAAAGACUUCCGGAUUAUGUAAUCCGGAAUAUUAAAAAAGAUAUUUUUGAAAUACGAAAAAUUUAUGGGGGUGACACAAGAAGGUAUGGAGGUGCAGGAAGAAACAGCCUGGAUUCCUUUUGUGAUUUUUCUUUUCUAAAGUACAAUUGAUAUUUUAAAUGUUUUUCUAUUUAAUUUGUCUUUCUUAAAUGACACAUAAAAUGUUCAGUGCACAAUUAACUACUCACCUUAGAUUUCGUUCUUCUUUUUCCACUUCCACACUAAAAUCAUUUUCACAUUUUUUUUACCUAUUUCACAAAAAUUUAAUUCAAAAAUGGAAAUUAAAGUUCAAGAACCCUACUUAUAUAUUAACAUUCAACAAUUUAAAAUAUUAAUAUUCAAAUUAAUCUUUCUUAAUGUUAUGAAAAAUUUAAAAUGUAGUUUAGUCAUUCUUGGAUGGAAAAAGAUGGUUUUAGAAGAAAAAAAUGCAUUUUAUUUGAAAGGUUAUCUAAACUCUAAACUCAUUGAUGAAUUAAUAAUAAUAAAUAAUAUGGAAUUCUAUUGGAAUAGCAUAUAAAUGUUUUGUUGUUGAAACUGAUAAUUGGGUGCGUUUCUGAUGAAAUUAAUUAAUGCAGUCUAGGGACAAUUAUCGCUCUAGUAUUUCAUUUUUUUAUUUUUAACGUUGAAAUUAUAAUUAUACAAUUCCGUUUUUAGAUAUUAAAAUGAUAGUUUUCAUUUACAGAUUAAAAUAUUACUUGUUUCUUUUAAGAUUUUUUUGGUAUUAUAAUUAUUUGUUAGCUGAAUUGUUUUGCGUUAACAUGUUGUUUUCUUGGGCUAUGAUGUAAGCAAUAUAAAUGUUAUUUUUAAUGUAAGCAAUAAAAAUUAUGAGUAUUCAAAGUCGUGUAAUUACUUAAAAGAAUCAAGUGAUUUUUAAAAGAACUCACACGAUCAGUUUUAAUUUUGACGAUAAAAUAUAUUAGUUAUAUAUAUUUAUUCAAAAUUUCAAUUAUACUAUGCAUUUAUGGUUUUAUGCUUUUAGAGGAAUCAGUAACUUAGAAAAGCUCCCAAAAACUAAUGAAAUCCCAUGAAUGAAGAAGGAGAACAAAUGGAAGUGAAAAAUCAGUAAGAUGAUAAUUAAUAAACACCCUCUCUUAAUAACAUAACAUAGGAGUCUUUAAACUUAUAUUCUUCAAACAAUUAUAAGCUGUCUUCAACUUUACUGUUAAACUACAAUUAUAAAGAAUUAACAAUCUCACACACCAACAACAUUUAUAAGUCAUCACUCACAUGCAACAAGGUGUGCCUCAAUGUGAAAAAACCAAGAUCAAUAAGAAAUGAGGUUCCACUUAACCAAGCUGAGAAUUGUCUGGUUUUCCAGCUCCAUGCACAAACCUAAUACAAUGAUAUGAUAUUCAAUACCAAGAGGUACCUUGUCGUAAAACUGAGAAUAUGAGGUUGCAUAGGAUGGAGAAAAGUAAGAAGAGGAUUUACCAAUUACCCUUUCAAAUGCAGCUCCUCAAGAUUUCAUAAUCCCUUCACUGCAAAUGCAACCCAAAUAUGUUAAAGAAGUUAAUGAAACCGAAAUAUGAAGAGUUUCAAAAUAAAAAUUUAACAUGUUGAAACUUGUAAUUUAGAAGUAUUGACUAUAAGGCAGUUUAGAUCCUGACCAAUGAAAGACUAAUAAGCAGAAGAGGAAGAGACUAGUUGACUGGCUAGCUUUCGGCCUUCCACUUCCUAUCUUCCCUUGUUUCUCUUGAAGACUGUGCAACAUUGCUUCCACUGGAUUCUUCAAUCUCAACAGCACCACCAUAUUCAUCAUCUUUCUUUUUCGUAUAAAGAGGGCAUAUGCCGCAUUCUUUUAUUGUGAUAACUGAUUUCAACUCUCUCACAACUGAUUCGUAAUCUGGCCACCCAAAGUCAUAAUCACACGGACUGAUCUCAAAAGUGAAGCUGCGAGCAUCACAUAGCCUGAGGCUCAUGCCGCUCGCCCUUAGGGACUCCAAGUUAAAUUUCCACACGAAUGUGUGAUCUUUAUCAACACAUCUCUCUUCACCAUUCCAUUUGAAAUAGCUGUUUAACACAUCAUUAUUUGGAAUGAUCUGUGUGCCAUCAUCAUCAGAUUCAAAUGUUAGGCUGUAACUAAAAGAACCAUAUCUACCAUUCAUAGCAUACGUAUCUAACACUCCAAAAACCACACUCAAAGCGAAACCAGUGAGCCUAUCAUCGCUGCAGAAACUUAAAUCUUCAUUUAUAGUCACUGAAUGUCCCUUCCCACGAAAAUUGAACCAACCAGGAACUGCACUCCCUGGAAAACAGAAGAACACACACCUAUAUGCAUCGUCGGUCAUCCUAAGCCUUGCAUCCUCCUCAAUGUUAGCACGACCACCUGAAUCCAGUUGUUGAGCAUUGGUGAAAUGAAAUUUAAAUACACCCUCUUCGGAAUUUGAGAGGUUUCGAACAAGAGAAUUUGGCAUCACUCUUCUAAUGGAUGGGCAAUCCAAUGCCACGAGUUGUUUCAGAAAUGGUGGAAUCUGUGGGAUGCAUUCAAGCUUUUUGCAGUCGCUUAAAUCAAGCGAUUUCAAACUUGAAAGAUGAGCAAUGCUCCCAGGAAGGUUCACGAUUCCGCUAUUACGCAGUGAAAGUUUCAUUAAUGACGUCAAACGACCAAUGUGUCUAGGGAUUUCUGUUAAUUUGGGGCACCCCGAACAAUCAAGUUUAGAGAGAAGCUUCAGAUUAACAAUGCAGUUUGGAAGUGAGUCGAGAUCAGUGCAUUUGUGGAGCUCCAGGGAUCGAAGAUUAACCAAAUUGCCAAAUGAGGAAGGCAAUUCUUUAACAGCCGUAGAUGUUAAGUUAAUGUGAGCAAAAGUAUGAGCCGGCUCCGUGAUCUCUGGGAAGGACCUCAGCCUUGAGCAACCACCUAAAUCAAACUUCCUCAAUUUCAAAUUGAAAAUGGUGCUUGGAAAAGUUUGAAGUGAAUUACAGUGGGUAAGGUCUAACUUGCAUAGUCUGGUGAGGGUUCCAAUGGAAGAUGGAAUAAUCUGAAGAUUGAAGCAACUGCGCAAACUCAGUUGUUGAAGCCCUACCAAACGGCACAAGGAUGAAGGUAGUGCCUGUAUGGCUGUGUCGUCUAAGAUGAGCACCGCUAGAUCUUCCAACGUGUCCUGAAUCUGGGGUAAAUAUUCCAAUUUUGAGCAACCACGGAGAGAAAGUUGCUUUAGGAAUUUCAUAUCAGAAAGGUCAAACGGAAAGAUUGUAAGGGAAGAACAGUCAGAGAGAUCUAAGUAACAGAGGUUCUUGAGACUUUGAAAGUUCAAGGGCACACCUCCUCUGAGAUUUGCCGACACUUCAAAUUGUAAGUAUAGAGUAUUAUUAGCCACUUCUUCAU